UGAGCACGAGGUUUCCAUCACCUUGCAAGCUCAGCCGGAACCGCCCUUUUGUGUAGUUAGUCUCCGAUUGUCUACACGAAAGCGUCCCGUUUCUCUCAAUUGUCUGUCCAGGCAAAACGGUGUCUGUAGGAUUGCUGAAGGUCUCCCACAAGCUCCCCGAGUUUUGGUGUUGAAGGACGAAGUUUCCGGUGUCAUUCAUGACCCCGUUCGCAACAGUCCCCAAGGUUAUUUCGGAUUUCCAUAUCUCUCCACCCUGAGGAUUGUUAAGAACUAGUCCACUGUUGGCAGUCAAGUUCAGAACUGAUCCCCUAGGUGCAACCAUGGGGUUGUUACCGUCAUAUGCAUACCAAAACUACGGUUUUGUCUGGGAUUUUCGCAUACCAUAUCGAAAGCAAGAAACGAUCAUUGUUUCCGAGGGGCGAAAAUCCAAACGCGAAAUCACCGGAAGGAGAAAGCCAUGAUGAGGAGUCGCCUGUAGUUGCAGUUAGAGAACUCCCAACUGCUACUCUUCCAUUAUUUUGGGAAAUCACAGAAAUUGGUAGCAAAAACAAAGAGGAGAACAAAAGCAUCUCUACAGAAAGAGCCACUGCCAUUGCAAAAGCACCAAUUUUUCAACUUGGCUUGAUUGAUUAGCUAUAUUUCUUAGUAAAGCAUUGGUCCUUGUUAUAUCUUUAAGUAAAUGCGUGUGCACCAUGUGCCUGUCAUUUUCUAAGUUUUUGCCUGGAAUUAAAGGCGUCUACACCAUUUUUUGAAGUCACACACAACAAUAUCUCCGGGCCUACAGAAUAAAUUCUCCGAACCUACACAUAUCACAAGAAUUUCACUUUGAAAAAAAAAAUAUAAUGAAUAGUUCUAUAUAUAAUGACACCGAGACUUUUUGUGAUUGAAUUUAUUCUCUCUCAACUCCUUUGUAAUGUUGCAAGUUGGAGCAAUAUUGACGUAAUUAGCAAUGGUCCGCUGACUUGUCUCUCUCAAAUCUCUUAUCAUCCUACUCUCAUCCCUCGUCUGUUUUAUGAUUCUACUUACUUAAGCACUUAUAAAUGUUCCAAAUCAGCAAAGGACUUGUAACUUAAAUAAUUAAUAAUAUUUAUCACUACACUCGAGAUUCUAGGUUCCAAAAUAUAAUAUAUAAUAUAUAUGAAUGUUUCCGAACCAAAAGGACAAGUAAAUACGAGCAUGACUCACGCUGCAUGGGUCGGCCAUUCAAGUCCACCAGUCAAAAUUCAACAAUGGGGCCCACAAAGAAAAUUUGAAAAAGUACAUGCAGAUUGGGGACGGAUACAAAGAAAAUCUGAAAACAGACCUCCAGAACCAAACAAAGACGACUAAGCCUUUAAGUCAAGUGACAAGAGACUUAUAUCUUCACAAAAACAAAGACGACUAAGUCUCAAUUUCUGUAUUCACAAAAAAAAAAGUACUAACUGAAGUUUUUAAUGUAUGAUUACGUCGUUGGGGUAAAACACCCGAUGCCGAGUUGAGAUAAUCACAGGGUUGGGGAAUCAAGAACCUCUUCGAAUGUCACAAUCUAGCGCAAACGGAUGUAGAGACUCAAACCACUUAUUUUAAAUCAUACGGCCUUCAUUAGCCUAUCCUAUUGACCCACAUGGUCCAAAUCUGUCUCUCCCCUCUCUUGAACGGUUUGGAUAUCUCGAUUUGUCGAUUUUGGAUUGCGAGAUUCAAAGAGAAUCUGAUUUCAUGUUUGAGGUGAGGUUUGACGACCAUUUGAAGCCCGUUGAGGCGUGGCCCAUCUCAUCAGGUCGGGUCAGCCAUUUCGUACCAGGUUGGAUCCCAGGUCAGGCCAACCAUUUCAUUAGCCUAAGAUGGACCUGACAGACGAGGCGCUUGGAUAUUGCCUACCGCGACCAAAUGGACCCAUGGACUCAUUAGAUGAUGAGUCUGGACCCUGGUGUGUGUAAAGCCCACCUCAGCUCGAUCCAUAUUCGAUCGAUACUACAAAGAAGGUGGAUAUGAGGUAAAGGUAGAGUAAGCUCCAAGUCAUGUGGAGGUCAGUCGAGAUUGAACACACGUUCAUAGAAUCAUAGUAUCAAAUUCAAGUCCAAAUUUUAACACUACGAAACCGAAAAGCAUUGUUUCAGUCCAACAACCCAAACUUCCUUAAAAAAACUAAGACAAAAACGACGACACUAGGAAACGGAAAAACAUGCAACUCAGAAAACCAUUACUCUAGUCCAAAUGAGGUUCCUCAAUGCCUCAAGCUUUUAUAAAACACCAUAGCCUGAACCUUUUCCUUUGCGCCUUCUUUGCUUCACCAGAAACGUUCUUAAUGAGCUCCUCUUCAAAUUUGGGACGAGCAGGCAUUAGGCUGUGCACAAUGCUGUAAACGCCCCUAGCCCUUGCCACACCCUAGGUGCGUACGCGUGCAUGUCCGACCUGAGUUAUCUUAUUACGCGCGCAGUUUGAUCUUCCCGUAUUGACAUCCCUGCUGUCUAUUCUCCUGCGAAUCCUUCUGCUGGUGACUUCAUCCGAGUCCAUUUUCUUGCUCCUCAGUGCAUGUUCAUCUGCUUUUCCCUGUUAAUAAAUAUAGGAAUCCCAUAACAAACAGCAUUUGACAAAACAGAACGUAAUAAUAACAACAAAACUUGACUCCAUCCUCAGUGCAUGUUCAUCUGCUUUUCCACUUCAAAGCAGCUGACGGCACGAUUCGUACUUGGACUCCAAAAUGUCUAGAUUAUGGAGAAACCAGCCUUCUAUCCAAAACACACAAAGAAGUGUAUUUUCCGUUUAUACCAAUUAAGUGUGUUGAAGCAUGUCCCACAUGGCCACAUAGGAAACUUGUUGAGGUUUAAAUCCUCUUAUAUAGAAAGUUCGACUACUAAUUGCCUUGAGGCCUUAAUUCUGUAUAAAACCAUACCUAUUGAAUUGCACACGUGCUUAAGUUAAGGUCAGUAUUGAUGGUAAUUAGUAGUGGGCUGCUGGGCCGUCUUAAAAAAACUGGUACAAAGGGCAAUUUAUAGAAGCAGUGUUGAGAUAAGGGCAAUUCAUCUGUUCUUUUUAGAAGGAUAUAUAUGAAUGAAGCAAGGUUUAUCUGCUAAUGCGGCUCAGCCCUUUAUCAAAAAGUGAAAGAUCAAAAUUACUUUUACAGCAAGAGCAAUACCAGAAGAUGUAAUCUAAAUUAUUUAUAUUUGGUUCCCUUGAAAUCCUUUUGACUGCUUCAACAUACUAUAUGCAGACAGAACCAGAACCAAGUCCAGACUCACUCGUAAUAGGUCUCCUCAUCCACAACAAUAUCCCAGCUUUCCCUUGUCGUGGUUUUCCCAUAUUUGUGCACCUUACUGCAAAGAGAGAGCAAGUUAACUUGUCAAAGAAAAACCAGAACAAUAGAUGCCAAUGCAGUUCAAAAAGUUUAUUUCCCUUCAUACCCAUUUCCGAAGUGCUCUUCUCCCCAUGUCCUUGACCAACCUAGACAUGAGAGAACAAAAACAGAGUUACAUCAGAUUAAAUUAUUGAAAGAAAAAGGUUCACUUCUGUUGUAACAAAUCGACAUUAGAAUCAAGCAACCACGCUAUGAAAUACAAAUUUAAAAUGUAACAAUUUACUGUGUCUAAAAGGAAUCUUGAAAUAAAAUAGUUAAACCCUAAACAGCACCACUGCAAAUAGCAUAAGAAAAUUAAAAUUAACCCUAAAGAAAUUGGGAGAGAAGAAUAUGAAAAGGGAAUACCUUUCGGCCCCUUUGAGUUAUUGGAAAAAACCCAACAGAGCAAAAGAUAAACAAAAAUACAGGCGGAAAGAAAAUAAAUUUUCAACUUGUAAGAUUCAUACGCGAACAGAUUGGUGGUCAAAAGCAUUUCGGAAUUCAGAGCCAUCAAGCUUUUUGAUCUGCAUGGAAAUUAUUUAUGAAGUUUGAGAUUCUUAUAGACGCUUUAGACACAUCGACAUAUUGAGAAAGCAAUAUUCAACAACCUAGUACCCAUGCUCCAUAGAAGGUUGAGAAAAUAUGAAUGUCUGGACUCUGGAGUGAGAAAGUAAAAGGACUUACCGCAUACUUCAUAUCUUCUAACUUUGUGUAGUCUACAAUCCCUGUUGUGCCUACAAAAAAGGCAUAGGACAAAAGCUAAAUCAAUCGAAAUUCUGAUGUCAUGAUCUAGGUCUUAGGAUUAAACUAUUGAAAUAACACUAUAUGAAAUAGCAGUGUAUAUCCCAAAAAAAGUAUGAAAUCUGGUUGAUAAUUGCAGAGUUCGAAGGGAUUUACCUUUGGAUUCUUCGGCUUUCAGAUGGAGUUUGCUUAUGUAUGGGAGAGAGAGGUGGAGCGGCUAGGGUUUGAGUAUGGAAGAGAUGAAAAAUGGAGAGAACACCUGUUUUGGCUGCAGCAACUCACACACUCCGGACAAAUCUGCAAAUGUCUAAAGGGGGGAAAAUAUAAAAAGAAACCUUAACAACUGAAUUCAAAGAAACAUUAUUACAUUGUAAAUAGCAUUUCACAAAAAAAAUAAAAUAAAAUAAAAUAUACUAAACUAAACUAAUUACACUCGGAUUGCAAUGCUAUCAUUUAAUAAUAGGAAUUCCCAUAACUUAGCAGAAGAUCCUGCAUCUGCAAAGGAUCCUUUAAAACCUAUUUUUUUUAACAACCCCACACCUGCAACACAUCCAGUCAAGGUAAACCAAUAGCACCCUCAUGCAGAGCUCUUCUGUGCAUAUAUACCCCUUAUAAGUAAUCUUAAUCAAUCAGUUAUCAUGAAUAUACAACUUAUAUUAAUUUUCUACAAUAUCCAACACACAAAUAUAACAGAAGAGGAAACUUUUACUUAAGCAGCACAAAAUGAUAUCCUCUGCAUUUCAUUCCAAAAUCCAUCACUCUUAUGUCUUUGCCUGCACAGUUUUUGCUCCAACAUAGCCUGCAAUGAUGAUAUAGCACUAUCAAUAAUUAAGACAUAAAGAAAGGCUAUCCUAGCUAGGUAUUAUGAUUGGAGUAAACCAACAACACCAUAAGUAAAGUAGCAGACCAAAUUUUUUUUAGAAUUGAUGUCUUAACAUGUUUAAGUAGCAAAAAGAUUACAACACAUUGGAUGUGUUAACACGUCCAUAAGCUGAUGACUCCCUCUCCGGUUUACCACAUCAUUCUUAAUGUACUCAACAAUGCAGCAGCAAUUAAAAGUCCUUGGAAAAUGCCAAGCUACUACAAUGACAUAACGAAAACUAUAUCUCACCUUACACCCUUGUUGGCAUAGACAACAUAUCCGUCCUUGUUCGGGGUGAAUCAUAAUCCUGAAUUCAAUUAUCAUCAUCGUCGAGAAUGUCAAACUGUAAAUCAACCAUGCAUGGAACAAAACUUAGAAAUUAAACAAUUAUCAAAGCUUAUGAAGAAUGCUAAACCCAACUAAUUCGAAACAUAAAGUAACCCGAAAGAGAGAAAACUUAUAAAUUUUACAUAAAUUAUAAUCCUUAACAGAAGGAUGGAACAAAACAGGUUCAUUCUUAAGAAUAGAUGUAACUAGUAAUAGGCCUGCGCGCUGCUGCGGGACUUGAAUGCACCAGCCUUAACAACAUGAAUAAGACACAUUUAACAUGAAAAAAAUUCAACAUAAUCAUGAACGAACAAAAAGGAUAGCUGAGUGAACAGUGUUCGUAAGUAAAACAGCUUAGUUUUUAUAUACAUUCAACCAAGCUGAUUACAAAAGAUGUGAUUGUAAAAAAUGUUCUGCUUACCUGAGAAACAAAAGCAACAUGCAUUUUACACAUACAAGACAUCUGAUAUUAAACCUAAAAUCAUGUAAUUCUGUAUGAAGUGGAGAAUAAUGCAGAAAGAUGGUUUUCUAUAGUGCUGCCAAUGACAAUUAAUUUCUCAUGAAAAAAAAGAAAAGAGAAACACAGGUAUAAAAGAAUAUUAUUUUUUAUAGUUGCAAACAUUAUGAAUUCCAAAAAGAAAAACUACAGAUAACACUUCAAUCACAGAUCUAAGCAUCUAAAACGUGGCAACCCAGAUACCAUUCAAGACAUUGCUCAGCAUCAUGGAUAAACUAACCUAUCUGUGUCCCUGUGCUCACUGCAUGUCAUAUACACCCGACCAACUGGGCAUAGGAGCAUAAUGAGGAAAACUUUCAGCACCAUUUUGUACCUGAAAAAUGAGGGAGGAACUAAUUAAAGCGUUCCUCACUUAGAAUAAAUAAUGCAUGCAUAAUAGCCAAAUGGACAUUGCGCAUAUAAAUUGUUGUGGCAAUAACUUGCAAUAGAAAACGUAGUUAAAAAUAAGAUAUACGAAAUACCAACAUUGCAAUGGUAUUUUUUUUUUCCAUUCGAUUGUACUGAAGCAUGCAUCUUAAAUUAGGUACUACGUGAGGUCUCUAUAAUGAAAUGGGAGAUUGAAUACACUUGACGAAACUGAAAAUUCAAAUAUGCACACGCUCCAUAGUGUAUCUUCACAACCAAAAGAAACGUUUAUAUAUACGACAUAUGUUUGACAUUGUUUUUCCCCACUCAAAUCGUCUUGAGAAAAUUUGACUACUAAAAACUACAAAACUUUGAUUAAAGAAUCAAAUAGAAUAGCAUGAGAAAGUUAUUAUUACACCAUACCUGACUUUUUUGCAUAUAAAAACACCUGUAUUUCACCUGAUUUUGUAAUGAAAUACAGAUGCUUGUAGUUCACCAGUACAUAGCUGCCUGUCAUUUGUUGUCUUCUUCGGGUUCAAGAUCCUUAUAUUGUCUGAGACGUGAAAGAAUCAGAAAUUGUAUACAGUUUGAUAAUGAAACAUGUAAUGUGAUUAUGUGACAACAAUGCACUCCUCUCUCUCAGAGAGAUAAACAAAGAUAUCAAAAACAGAGAGGCAAUGUUAAGAUAAACAGAAAGGCAAUGUCACAUUGUUUUGCAUGAUCUUGAAAAUUGGGGAUAAGGUAUUCAAAGUGCUAACAAACACGUGCAAAUGGGGAUAAAAAAGGGGAUAAAUUGAAAAAUAUAUAUGCUCUUAAUCGAGAACUUCAUCAAAUAAACAAUAAAAUCUAAUGUAAUCUGUCCAAAACCAAAGAGAGUGAUAAUUUGGAGGCACUAUAAUGUCUUGGGCAUCGCAUACUUGCGGUAUAUGAUUGAUGCAUCUGUUGCUCAAUCAAAUCAUUUGCUUGGCUAAAAAAGUUAUUUUUACAAUAAAUAGAUUCGCAUCCAAUUUAUGAGAAAUCAUGCAAAAGUAAAUGUAAAUGAUAACGGAAUCAUGAAUGCGAAUAAGAAACACAUACAUGCCAAAAAGAAAACCUACUAUAGUGUGUCAAGUUACUUGCAACAUAAUUUUUUAUGCCAUUAUCCAUUUCGCAAUACUUUAAAAAAAUUUCGUUUGAAAAAGCUUUGCUAUGAUUUUUAGGUUUGGGAAAAAUAAUACCAUAAAAAUUAAAAAACAAUUACUAAAAAUCAUGGCCUGUUAAUAGCAAAAUACACUCCUCAACAAUGUAUAUGAACAUGUGAGUUGAAAAUUUGAAAUAUUCAACAACUAAAAGAAAGAAGCAAAAUCAGAAGAAAAGAAAGAGAUACUCACUCAAAAAUAAAGAUGUAAUAAUGCCAGGCUUCUUCUCCUCGGCAUCCAGAAUUCCAUUGUUGUCUCCAUCUUCAACCUUCAAUGUAUUUAAAAUAUGAAAUGGAAAAAACCCAGAAGAAAUCAUUACAUAAAAUAAAAUUAUCCAAGUAAAAUUAAAGGAUGGAUAGAAAAGAAAUGAAGGCAGUUUAUUCGGACUUAAUUAGAGACUUACUGAAUAAGCUUGAAAUCUAUCUCACACAUCUCUUAAACUUCAACCCCUAUCCUCCUUGCCUCUGUAAUAUGCACACAUAUAGAAAAAGAAAUCGACUUUAGAACCUACAUUGAUACAUAUCUUGUGUGAGUAGGUCUUUCCUGCUUUUCCCCAAUCAUGCAUAUCAAAGAAACGAAAAAGAAGGAAAUCACCCAUAUAUAUAAUACCUUAAGUUUAAAUGCAUCCCAAUUUUGGGUUCCAACGUCACAGAAAGAAUGUCUUAUACAUAAUUUAACAGUACCCCCGACAUCGGUCCAUCCAUUCGUAUUAAUAGUUAUUGUCUGCACAAACCUCAAUUACCUUACAAUCUAUCAUUAUUGACAUAAAGUUCAUACAAUAUGGGACAUCAUGACCUCUCUUUGGCCAGCACCAGUUUUUCCAAAAUGAAAUCAACUAUUACUGCAUUAAUUAUGGGUCCAUCUGGCCAAUUCAUUGAAUUCGCAGACCCAAAAAUUUCACCAAUUAACUGAAUUUACAUACAAAUGGGAGAAGUACAAAAACAAAGACAAUGGCAUAAAUUAUACCAUAAAAAUUACACUACGAAAAAUUUAGAGACCAAAAUCCUUGUUAACAGAAUUUAUUCACAUUAAAAGACACAAUUUCGGUUCAAAAAACUAUCAAAUUUAAACUUUGAUAUCAUAUGAUAAAAUCUUAAUUAAACUCACAAUCUCAAGAAGUUGAAACCAUGUUAAGUAAAAGAAACAAAUUGAAAAAAAUUAAGAUGUAAAUAUUGAUAAGAACAACAAAAGUGGCAAAUACAUUAUACACAGAUAGGACCCUGAAAUAUCGGAACCAGCAGCAACAAAUAGAAUUAAGAAGAAAAAGGAUUAGCAGACUUAAUAAAUGAGAAAUAGGAUAACAGGUACGAACUCAGUUUUUCCACUAUGAAUAAGAGAUCCAGUGGCAUAACCUAACAUUAGGUAGAAUCAAUGCUGGUUGAUUGAAUUUUCAUUCCCUGAAAAUUCAGAAAAUGAUGUGUUUUGAUCUGCAGAUAGAAGCAUUCUAUAUAUAUAAAAAAAAAAUAUAUGGAGACAUGAUGAGGUUCAGAAACCAAACCAUGUCGGUAAAAUCCUCUUGGCAGGUUGCUCAAGGUUGACCUCCUAGCCCUUGGACCAGUCAGGAGACUUGGCCUCCUGCUUUCAAGUUUGGAAGGGAAGUAAAAGGUUCAGCCAAUAAGUAAAAGAAUUGAUUCAGAGGAUAGAAUCAAAAUUUCAAAAAUAUUAUUUGAUGCGAUUAAAACUGUUCCCAAUGAUAAAAUGAAUAAAAAAAUCCAUUGGAAUAAAAGAAAAAGAAUGAUUAAAAUUAUUCACAACCCUUGCUGUUUUUACCUAACCAUUUGUAGGAUCCAUAAAGGGCCAAAAAAAGUUUUUUACUUCUCCUCUAGUCCCAUAAAUUUGGAUUCCAUCUCGUCCAAGCAAACUAACAAUCAUUACUAUACUUUGUUUUAGCAUGCGAACACAAAUCUCAAAAAAAAUAGAUAAUUCAUUUACAAAUUUAAAUUCAAUUUUUAUAUCUCGAUAUUUGUUUGUUAAACUCAAUGAUCAAACUUCAGACUCAUGCCUUCCAAAAAGAAAAGAAAACGAAGAAGAAUUGAAAGCACUUCCCAUUCCAAGGAAAGAGCAGCCAUAAUUAGGAUCCAAAACUCAUUCUUUAGUCUCCUCAUCUGAAGCUAUAUAUAAUCAUUGAACAAAAACGUUUAACGUCCAGCAGAAAGCAAACUGCAAUCAAAAUUUCAAAAAAGCAAAAUAAUGCGCAGAUAAUCGACAGCUGCAACAAACAAAAAAUAGAAAAAUCAAAUGCAGAUUGAAGGAAAAAUCGAGACCGCAAUCGAAACUCAUGCUUGUAUGGGUAAUUAAUUGUAGAUACCAAAUCAUCAAAAACCACUUGUCUACACCAAAUUGCAUACAAAAGAUAUUGGGGCAACUCAGAUUGUGCAAUGAAAAACAAAGUCAAACUACGACGUAGAUGUCUAUCGGAAUUUCAUUCAAAGAAUGAUUAAAUAAAGACAAUGGCAUGCCAAAGAUUAAAUACCCUAAGCGACAGUGUCAGCCAUGAGCUUCCCUCUGUGAGAGCACAGGGGUGUAACUGCAAAAGAAAGCCGGAGACUGAGGGCAAACUGUAAUUUCGUCAAAAAGGAGGAAGUGUACAAAAGAGAAGUGACAGCAAUAAGCGUAGACGCCAAGGACAAAGUAAAUAUGUAUUUGUGAAUGGGGUUAAGCUGCUGCUAGCUUUGUAUAGUGUAAUAAUGCAAUUGCAAAUAGACCAAGUUACUGCUACUAAAAGCUUUUGCAAAAUCAUAAAACUCUUAACAGUUUGAACCCUACCGAAAAGUUUAUAUGAGUUAAAGAACAGUCGUACUUAAGUGCAGCAAGAUCAUAAGCUCUUGCAGCUUCUCCUCCAUAUCAGAACCACCUGCAGUCCAAAUUAACCAAGAUUCAAGGCCAAAGCAAGAACAAAUUAGUGAUAAUUUAAACUAAAGUCCCUAAUUAUUGUUGCAGAGAGAAUUCAUAUCAAGAUUAACGACAUUAUUUGAUUCGAAUGGAAUCCAAACGCAGCAUAAACAUGAAAGGUAAAAAAUUAAUACCAAAAGUCACAUUUAAGCAGCAAUUAAUAGCAUAAAUCAGAUUUUAGUGGCAUGGACCAAAAUAAUUCAGUAAAAAAGAAACAAUCCCAAACAAAUAGAAAGAACUGGAGAAACAAUUCGAAACAAAUCUUCGGAAAGCAACCCCAUCCCUCCCUCACCCUCUCUCUCUCCAAUUCCAACUUCUCCCUACAUCUCUCUGUCUAUAAUAGAUGUGCAGUUUUAUUAAUCUUUGUUGCCGAAGCGUGCAAGAUAGUGAAAAGAUUGUUUAUCUAAGAAAAAAAAGGGCACAUUUUAGAUGGAGACAGAUGGCAUUUAACAAAUUCUUCAUUAGUGGAGUAAAUAAUUUGCAACCACCUAUUUCCUGGUAGCAUUAAAAAAAAAAUUCAAUUUUAAAAAAGAAAUGUACUUUUUAGUUCAAUUUCCACAGCCAUAGUAAUUUAUGUGGACUAAAAUUAAGAUUAACUAAUACAUCCAAUCAACUGCAACUAAACAACUUAUAGUAAUUGAAUCUGUGUUUGUGGAUGUGAGAGAGAGAGAGAGAGAGUUAUCUAUUAUAAAGCCAACCUUCUUUGAAUUGGUCCUCUUAUGGCUUAUUACCAAAACUCUCCAUUGCAUUUGCAGUAAUGCCCUCUGCUUCUCCUCCUGCGAAUUAUCAUUCUGUAAGUAAAAGGUACAAAAACAUCAAUUACUUAAUGGUAGAUAUGUACUUUAGACUUUUGAAGAUCCAAUUCAUCCUGCAUCUUCUCACACUCAUCUUCAUGCUGAAGCUGCAAACCUGUCAGCUCAGCUUCAAGUUCGCUCCUCAUUGAAGUUAUUUUCUAUGAAAAUGAUAAACUGGUUUGUAACGUAAGCAUAUAACACUCUAGUUAAAUUAGUAGUUCCAACUUAAUUCAAAGCUAAAAACGACAUUAAUGACCACAAUUUAAGAAUCCAGAAACAGCCCAAACUAACAACACACACAGAGGACAGACACUGAAAGACAUAUUUUUUUAGAGAACCUAACUAAAAAUUAAAAACAAACCAAGUAAAAUUUUCAGAGUUUAAAAACAGGAAACCAUUACAAUCUUUACAGAAACCAACUAAAAUUGGAAUCUGAAAAAAAAUCCGCUCAAUUUUAACAGCCCUGCUGCAUAUAUUGGGUUUUUUUAGGCAUGAGACAACACAAACGAAGAAAACAUAACAUAGUUGUAAACCUUAGGCUCCAAUCAGGUCAAGUGUGAGAUUUCAAACACGGAGAUUUACUCCAUGUUUAAAAACUGCCAAAUACAUUGCCAACUGUUAAGAGUAUGAACUACAAAUCUAUAAAGUAAAAAGACUUGCAGAUAAGUUUAAACAAUCAACAUUCAACUUAUGAUUGUUACUGUUUUUUAGCUGGAUGUUCACAUUCUAAUAAGGUAUUAAAAGAGAUUAUAAGCGUGUGUGCUCUUAAACCACCCAACACCAUGUAUUAAUCAAAUAAUUAACAUCUAAAGAUGGAGACAUGAAACACGAAACCUGCAAUUAGAUCCCAAUCACAAAAUGCCAAAAAAAUCCUAAUCUAACCAUCCCUAUACUAAUAGCCCAUUCGAGCAGCUAUUAGCACCUAACCCGCUACUUUGGCAACCCACCAACCCGCCACACCGUCAUGUCCCAUCCCCUCUCCACCACUCACUAUAUCUCUCACCUUUCUUUCUUGACAUUUCGCUCGGUGCACACAAACACCAAGCCAACCAUUGCCGGCCUUUGUCUAAAAGUGGACAAAAUCCCAUAGGUCCUGGCAGAGGACCUAGCUAAAUCUCUCUCCCACUCAGUCGAAACCCGUAGCUACCAUUUCUCUCCAAUCUGUCAGUCUCUCUGUCCCCCUCUUCUCCUCCCCCCAACAACCCUCUGACCGAUGCAUCACCCACAGCCACACCCACCCGCACCCGAGUCAAAAAUCCCAACGAUCCUCUCCCUCCAACCCGUCAACAAAUUAUGGAUUCCGAGAAUGUAUCUUGAAAACUCAGAUGCACAUGAUUAAAAUUAGUAGAUAUUAAGGACGUGUACUUAACAGAACAACACGAAGAACGAAUGAGUACAUUACAAACUAAAUGACCGUGUCAGCUAGAUACUUCUUAAAGAACACCUCUAAUCUACCAGUAUGAUUACUCAGUUUUUGGUUUUUAAAUUAAUACCCUAAACCUUACAUUCAAACUCAUUUCGAAUGCAAACAAAAGUAAAUGAUAAGUCCCGAGCUUUUCUUUCUAGCCUCAACUCAACUCAAGUUCCCAACCUUCACCUUCCAAUACAAAGAAACUAACGCAUCAAUCUGCAAUUUCGCAAACAUAUAAUUCAACUAACCAAGUUCUGUGUCCACUCAAAUGCACAUAUUUGAGCUCAAUCAAACUUAAAUUUGAAACAAAUAGUGAUGAAAGAUCAAACAUUUAUACCUAGCUUAGGAUCCGAACCAAUCUCCUCUUUCGCCUCCCUCGUCGCCGUGUCCCCAUCGUCCUUGUCCCCCUCCUCUGUUUUCCCACCCGGCAAAGAAACUUCACCUGCAGAAACACAAAACCAAAAAUUAAAAAACCAAUCUUUCCCAUUUCCAUUUUUAUCAAUUUCCUCAAUUUUUCCCAUUUCCAGAAAAAUGAGCAAGAAGCUUAAGCAGGAAAAAAAUCAUAAUUUCAACAACCAAAACCCAAUACCCGUUUAAUCAUACACGAACGAAAAAUCUAAACACAGAGUCACAGAUUAACGAACUGAAAACCCAAAAAAAAUAAAGGAAACUGACCUUACUUAAGAACAAUACAUAGAACACAGAGAAACGAAACAAAUAAAGGAACCCCCAAAACCAAAUAAAGGAACCCUCAAAACCUGACCUAACAGUGCAACAAAAUCUGGAAAUAAUUCACAGCAAAAAGGCAGAAAUGAUGACAAUCUAUGCUAACAGUAAAGAAUCGAAUUAAAAAUUGAACUUAGCUUUUGAAAUCCAGCCACUCAUCCGACAUGCAAAAGGGAACGGAUGAUCGAGAGUGAAUCAUGGACUGAGGGACCUUACUCGACCCAUCAUUGGAGCUACGUUUGUAGCUUUUGGGGAGAAAAAAAUUGAAUGUGAAAGCUGCUUUUGAUGUGGCCAUUAAGGUGGUGCUUCAGCAACCGAAGCAAAAGAAGAAGAGGCAGAAAAAUGUGAGUAUUCCAUGAAGAAAAAAAAAAGGUUAAAAAAUCACUAAAAAGAAAAGGCAGAAAAAUGCAGGGUAUUCCAUGAAGAAAAAUUCAACAAUUAAAUAAUAUAGCUGUAAACCUUAGACUCCAAUCAGGUCAAGUGUGAGAUUUCAAACACAGAGAUUUACUUCAUGUUAAAAAACUGCUAAAUACAUUGCUAACUGUUAAGAGCAUGAACUAUCUGUAAAGUAAAAAGCCUUGCAGAUAAGUUUAAACGAUCAACUGUCAACUUAUUAUUGUUGCUGGUUUUGAGGUGGACGUUCGUAUUCUAACAUGGUAUUAAAAGAGAUUAUAAGUGUGUGCGCUCUUAAAUCAGCCAACACCAUGUAUUAAUCAAAUAAUUUAUAUCUAAAGAUUGAGACAUACAACAUGAAACCUGCAAUUAGAUCCCAAUCACAAAAUGCAAUAAAAAAAUUCCUAAUCUAACCAUCCAUAUACUAACAACCUAUUCGAGCAGCUAUUAGCACAAUUUACCUCCCUCUCUAUUCUUCCCCACCCCCUCUUUAACCAAAUAAAAACUCAUUUGUCUCACUAAAUAAAAACCUCAAAUUUGUUUUUUCAAAGCUGCAACAACAUCACUAAAAACACCAUGUAAUAAAAAUUUAAAAAAACCAAUCCAAUUUAAGUCGAGAAGCAAAUGACCAAACCUCCUAUUUUGAGGAAACAUUUUGCAUUCAAACCUAAAAUGCUUGCCUGCAAAGAAGGAUUAAAUAGCAAAGCAGACUUUCGGGGGAAAUAAAAAAAACAGACUAUUUAUAAUACAAUAAAAAUAAAGUAAUUCAUCAUCCCCACCAUCUCUGUGAGCUUUAACAGAACAGAGGAAUCAAAUUAAGCAAUAUAUAAAUUUAAGUUGACAUUCCAGUGUUCUACCUCUAACCUUGGUAGCAUGCAUGCACUGUAAGUUAUAAAGUGAAUUAAGCCAAGAUCUUCUAACUUCAUGAUUUUCACAUAUGCAUUAGAUGGAGAAAUACAAUAAAUAAUCAAAUAUGUAAGACUCUGAUAUUCAAAACCAAACAAACCCAAUUACACUUUUAGUUCACUAACCCCAUUGAAUAAAAUCCAAUUCAAUAAAAUAACAGAAAAUUAAACAACCCAAAAAUCAAAACAACCCCACUUGUAGUUUUAGCUCACUAAUCCGUUGGAUAAAUAGAUGCCAAAUUCAAUCAGAAAACAUACAAUUAACAACAACCCAGAAGAGCCAUCCGAAAACCCAACCAAUUAACCAAAAAAUACCACUUGUUCUUUUAGCUUAGUAACCAACCUCUACUUGUUUUCUGGCAAAUUUGGGGUCCUUUGAUUUCUAGACUUUCAGUAGAAACUGAUUAUACCAUGGGCUAAUAUUCAAGUACCACAAAAUAUAAUUUUACCGUAGUAAGCUUUUUGAUUCACUCCAAACGAAGAUAUUAUAUGUUCACAUAUAUAUAUUCACAACCAUAAAAAGAAGAACUUAUCUCUGGCAUUUUAAUAAAAAUAAAAAUAAAUUAUUCACCCACAGUAAAAACCGAAACAGCUAAAUUAAACCCAAAAAUUAAUCAUGAUCAUACAUAUGUAUUCCUGACAAAUGUUUAGCCCUUUAAUUAAAACACUAAAAUAAAAAAUUGCUCACCCACAGUAAAAAACCGAAACAUGCAAACCAAAGCCCAAAAUUUAAUCAUCACUAUUACUUUUUUUUUUUUUGGUGUUUUUAAGUUUCAGGGAAAAAUGGAAGCACAAACAAUCAAAAAACCCAAACAAAAAGAAAUUAACACCAAAGAGAUAAAUUAUAUACCUGACCCAGAAAAAGCUUGGAAGCUCACAUAAUGAAACCCUAAAACUCGAAGAAGGAUGCUUCCUGCAAACCAAAUACAAAAUCAGACUCUCUCUCUUAGAAAGAGAGAAGUUAUCAAGUCCUGUACUUGGUUAUAUUUGUUCAAGUUAGGAAAAAUCGAGUACAGGGUUGGUACCUGGAGCUUGAGAAAUCAGAGAGCUUGCCUGUUUGAGAAAAGAUGAUAACAACAGCUUCAGAUUCACACAGAAAACGUACAAAAAACGCACAACAUGCUCUCUGCCCUCUCUCUCUCUCCCUCCCUGUCCAUCCGUCCCUCAAAAAGUGGGAAAAAAAAUCUCCAAACGUCUCUCCCACUCAUGAAAUCGAGGAUCUGCAGCAAUGGCGCUGAGGUCGCCACUCCUCCCUCUCCCUUUCUCUGUCGCUCUGUCUCUGUCUCUGUCUCUGUCUCUGUCUCUCUCUAUCGAAGGCAUGGCCUUUCAUCCCCGAAACCCUCACUGAAUGACAGCAAACCCAAACCCACCCCAAUCCGUCUCAAACACACAGGACAAAAUUGCCCUUCCAACCCAGCCCCAAUACCAGCCCAAACCUUACGGUUUUGUUGUAAAUAGCGUGAAAUCGAGUGGCUCCCUGAUAAGCCAUAUGGACAAAAUUACCCUCUGAAAUUUUGAGAAUCACCCUCCCAACCCACUCCCAUUCGGCUGGUACUGUUGUAAAUAAAGCAAAAUAAAAACAAACGUGAAUAGUGCCUGCCCUCCCCCUACUUUAGUAUAGAUAAUUUUGCACAUUGCAUAUAUGUAGAUUAAGGACGGUGGUAACAUACCUUGUAAUUUGUACAAAUUAGGAUUUUCAUUCAAAGAACUAUAAUAUACACAAUUACAAAAAAAGUGAUUCAAACUUGUUCUUCUCUUAAGGAAAUUACUCACAGUUGAAAUUCUGAAUGGAUGAAGUUUUGGCUUCCCUUUCCGACUAUAUUUGAUUAACCUUUUUUUAAUCCAAUGAGUGCCUUCAUGAGAGAGAGAGAGAGAGGAAUAUUAGGUGAAAAGUAUUGCCAAAUCACACAGAGAUCAAAAUCUUGAAUAUAUAUGUUUAACCAUGUCAAAGUGAGUGUGUAAAGGGUGUAGUCUGCAGAAAGGGCAACAUUUUCACUGCUAGAAAGUUGGAAACUAAACUUUUACACAGAUAUUGGAUUUUAUUAAUUCCCUUCGCGAAUUGAAAAGCAAAUUGUUCGAGUAAUGCAGGUAAAUUCGAUAUACAUAUGCGUUGAUCUAUGUGACGGUUAUAAGUUAUAACUGUAUUGUCUUAACGCAAAAAUGAUCAUAAAUGUAAGUGUCUGUAUUAUGGAAGUAAGGGACUUACAGCAAUUGCUAUGAGCUUUAACAGCAGUCACUCCAAGUACCUUAUUACGGAAGUAAGGGACUUACAUCAAUUGCUAUGAGCUCUACCAGCAGUCUCUCAAAGUGGUGCAAGGGCUAAAAUUAUAAAUAAAAAGUAAUUUAAACAAUUUAACUUAAUAAAAUAUUGUAAUUUAAACAAUGCCUAUAUAUUCAAACAUCCCAAAACAGGAAUGAACUUCUAGAAAACAUGCGCAUGAAAAUAAACGGCAUUACUCACCCAUUGAGUUGGACCAUCAAACUGGAGCGUAAGAAGGAUCAUCAUGUACCUAUGAAACCCAAAGGAAAAUUUUAGCAACCCCAAAGCUUGUAUGCAAGCGUGAAUAAGUAUGCGUGUAUGAAUCUAUUCAUAGUGAAGAAGGCUACCUUAAGAAAUAUUUGCAUCUGCAGCUUCAUAUGGCCAUACAACAAAAAGCAUCGCAUAUGAUAACAAACCCCAGCUGCACCACAAAAGGAAUAUGAUCUUCCUCUCGACUUGUAUUUGCAGUUGUUACUGUAACAUCUGCAGACAGCAUACAUAAGCACUGAUUCGAUAAUUCUAAAGGAAAAAAAGUUCUUAUUCGAUAAUGCACCAAAUCCUAUCCAAAAACCAAGGGGGUGCCAUAUCCCUAGAUUAACAGAGCAUCUUUCUUUGUUCCAAAACAAAUUGCAAUUGGCUUUGGUAAAGUAGAAAGAUUACCAGAUACCGACUCUGUUCCAUUAUUCGACUGUCCUUUUAGUUCUAUCUCUCAACAUGGGAAAUACAAUAAGACAGUAAAGACAAAAGUUAGUGAUGCUAUUACAUAGUGAAAGAAAAUAAGACAUUCACAUAUUGAUAGCUAUUUACUGUCCUUUCUCAUCAUAAUCUUGGCCCCAAUAUAUAUACUGAAUUUUGAAUGCAAUGAGAGAAAUAUACCUUUGGGGCGUCAAUGCCAGAAGAGUGAGUGAGGGAUCUAAGAUGUUUGAGAGCAGGAAUUUUUAAGUAAUUUGUGUGAAAAAGUUGAAGAGCUUCGAACAGAGUGGAGUGGGUUGGCCUGGGCUAAAAUAAAGAGGAUGAACUCUAGAAAGUAGAAAAUGUUGUUAUUCAACCAAACUCAAAAGUAAAGAAACCAUACAAUUAACAUAUAAAUAAGUUUUAUAUACCAAUGUUUACAUGUACGUUGUUUGAGAAGGUAAAUUAGCAACAUAUACAGUGAUCAAAAGAUUAACAGCAAUAAACUGCUCAUUAUUCGAAAUAUACAUGAAAGUUGUCAUUCACAUGAUCCAAAUGGUAGAGGACAAAACAGAAGGAAGCAAAUAUUAUAGCAGCAUAAGUUGAAUAAUUGCAGCAAGUAAACAAAUAGAAAGGCUAGCUAGAUUACACAAUCCAGUUCUAGGUCGGACUAACCAUGUUAGCCAUCCGCCCACCACCAGCACCGUCGGCUUCUUAUUAAAAAUGUAGAAUAGAAGACUCAAAAACUGGAAAUGAAAGCAGGUAACAUUGAGUUUUAAUAACCAAAAAGGGACAUUGUUUAAGCAGCUCCAUAGCAGCAAUUAUACUUGGACGAUGAGCUGCAAAAACAGAAAAGAAAACACAAAUUAAACUAAAAAAAAUAUAAAAUUUAGCACUAAUCCAGGAUUAAAUAUAAAAUAUAAAGUCAUUAGGAUUGGGACCUUUGCAUUGAGGAAUAUCUACUACAUUAUGAGUUCCCUCCUGACAGUGGCGGAUCCAGGAUUUUAAACUCGGGGGGUCUCAAUAAUAAAGGUCAAAAAAUUUAUACACAAAAACAACAUUGAAAAUUUAAAUAUAAUACAUUUCAUUCAAAAAUCAUAUGCAAAACAAUAUUACAAAUUAUAAAAUCAUAAUUCAAGCGUCCAUUACAAGGUUUCAUAAGUUACUACCUAAGUUAUUGAUUAUCUAAUAUGGACCACUAAAUUUAAAACACCAGUCAAAUAAAACUCUUCCCAAACUCCCACUAUCUUUCUAACCAAACACACCAUUUUUCUCUUUUACUAGUUUCCAAACAUCCACUUUCUCUCUCACUAAGAACACAGCUGCCAUACCUCCACCAACCACCUCCCUCCCCAUUCUCCCGAAGCCAUGGCAGCUCCACCCCCAAAUUUCACCAACCCAUGACAGAUCAUAUCCAUCUUACUAACCUUAUGCAGGAAAUUUCACCCAUAACAAAAAUUACUAAGGUGGUUGAAAUAAUUUGGGGAAAUUUGGGCUUAUGUACUGCCCCGCCAGACGACAGAUGGAGGAGAAGUGGGUGGCACCGAUGGAUGAGACCAUGGCAGAAGCAAGGAGAGAGGCUGGAAGGGUCCCUAUUUUCUUUCUUCUCCGUGCGCGGUCAUCUUCUCCGAGAAGAAGACAGCCACUGCAACCUACAACCUGCACAGACCUCAUGCUCGAGUACGAGGGGUCCCCGGAAAAUUUCUAGCAGCGAUUUAGGAUCGCCGACGGGUCCUGGGACCUCCCAGGUCCCUAUGUAUGCAGGAAAACCUAAGGUUCCUCCUUAGGUUUUUCGAUGUACCAAACCCGAAUCCGCCGUCCUUUUUCCAAAAUUCUAACGUUUUCAUAGAGUUUUAUUAAACGACCUUUAAUUGUGUUUAGGUGCAUCGGUGGAAGUGACCUCAUUCUUGAUGGUUCGAGCGGCUUUCGGGCAAUGGAAAACUUGUGAGUGGACCCCUUCUAAACUUAUAUAUUGUUAUAAAAUAUUAGCCUAGCAUGCAUUCCAUAUUUCAUGAUUUGAAUAUGAUUUAUAAUAUGCUUUAUGGACUUUUAUAAUUAUGGUUUACGAAAUAGUUUGAUUUAUCGAAAUUACGUUUUAUUAGGUAUUGAAUUAUUGGAUUUACAUAUAUGGAUUUCUAUGGUUUUCAAAUACGAUUUAUAUUACGGUUUUACGAACAUGAAUUGUUUUAUGGAUUUCAUGAAUACAAUUUAUCUUGGAUUUAUGAGAUGAGACUUUGAGCUAGUGAGCUCCGGGUUUGAUAUGAGUUUUGAGAUAUGUUUUUGGUACUUAAUCUAGUGGGUUAUCAUACGGCACAUCCGCACACCACGGGUAUAGAUGUGUAUGGCCAUAGGACACAGAUGAUGAGGAGGAGUAAGAUAUGAUAUAUUGUAUACCCCCAGUUCACUGUCGAAAGCAGUGUCAGAUAACUUCACUAGCCAUGGCUAGUGUCGGUAUGGAUGUUAUGCUAUUUCAUACAGCUUCACCUUCGGGUGAUAGACAGUUAUUUAGCUUCACCUUCGGGGUGAUGGACAUGUACUACCUUCGGCCAACUAUAAUAGCCUUAGUUGAGUACUUCACUGACAAGAUUUACAAAUUUGCCUUUGGGCGACGACAUUUUCAUUAUCAAGCACUGGAUUUUACAUAUCUACCUUCUAAAUGGAUUUUCAUGGCAUGCUAGGGUUUUUCAUAAAGCCUAUAUGUAGUAUUAUAUAUGUUUUCAAAAUAAGGGGUUAUUAUGUUCAUAAAUAAAAUGUUUUCCUAUUAUUAGUAUUAUUAAUAUAAACUUUGGUCCACUCACCUUUUCAGUUUUUGCGCCUCCUCAGGAGUUAGGAUCGAGGCACAUGAUCCCGGCAUCAUGGCAUGUUGAUAUAGGUAUCCUUGAAUCUUCUUAGUGUAGGUAUCAUUCCCUUAUUCAUAUCUUUUUAUAGUGAUUCUUUCCUAUUAUUUCUAAUUAGUUGUAUGCUCUGAACAAAUUCCUGCUUUGGUAUAAUCGUUAUAACUACUUAUCUUGUAAUUGUUUGCAUGUUUAAAAUGGUUUCGUCACCUUUGGGCGUGGGCUAGCACGUGCCUACCCUGGUAUGUUGGGGUAUCGGGGUUGGGGCGUGUCAAAGAUAGAGAGUGAAUUUCUAGCAGAUUCAAUGGUUGUCUACAUUUUAAAAAGAGCUUGCCGAAAAGAUUGAUUCAGAUGAAAUAACAAAGGAUUUCAAUUCCAUUAAGGAUUGAAGGGCACAACUUGAAUAGGUAUUUUUCUUUUUAUUUGUUAGGUUGUUAUGACAAGAUUGACGAUGUAUGUUUCUUUAUAUUGUAAGUUGCAACUUUAAAGGUUUUCUUCGUUAAAUCUAGUUGAAACUUGAUUCAUUUAGAGUUAAAUUUCUUACUUCAAAUUGUUGCUUUUAGGCUUAUUAUUGUGUAACUUUAUGCAAGCAACAAAAAAUUUUAACCAUUUGAUUUUGUACUAAUAAUUUUAGCUUAGCAUGCCACCAAAUAAUUCAUGUCUCCGCUAUUGAAAUCUUAGCAUGUGCAAUUUCAAAGUCUCGGUUGCCAAGUCUCCCCAGGCUGUUCAGCACCCAUUCUGAAUCUUGAUCGAGAUCUAGAGCAGUGCAAGUCAAGGAGUCUUCAUUCUCAUUUGAAACAAUGCUAAAAUUAUACCUCAGCUUGGACUCCUUGGGCAAAAUAUACCCAAAUGUAUUAAUAAUUUAAUACUACUUGUGGAUGCACCACUAGUCCAAAAAAAUCACCUCUCCUUUCUUAAUCUUCAAUUGGUGAGGGUCCCAAUCAAGCGUGAAAGGCCCCGGCGCACGGUUGGCUUUAGUUUCCCAUGAUGAAAUCGACGAAACGUGGCCAUUUGUACGGUUGACACCCAAUUUCAUGCCCGGCAAAAAGGUGUCAACUGGUAAUCAAAGCUUUACGUUCACUUCUUCUUGUACAAAAUUUCCCGAAUCCAAAAGGAUAGCCACAACAGUAGCAAUACUGUUACUUAUGUUGGUAGACCUAGUAGUUUGUGGAGCUGAGAAAAACACAAUUGGAUUAGGAUCCCUCCCGCAUAAUUUUCAAGGUUUUAUUCCUGUCCAAGGCAAGAGUGCGUACAAAAUAGGGGCUUUACGGUUGCAAAUCCAAGCAAUGUUGCCAUCGGCCUUGUUGCUCUGGAUAGAUACGUAGCUGGUGCUUUUGGAACUGUCGUCGUGUACACAGGAACUGAAACUGAACUUCUCCGAUGCAGAGACCAAAGAACUUGAGGAGUUGAGAGUGUCUCCUGCUGGUUUCAGUGUGUCCUUGCACUUGCAGCAUUGUGACAGGUCCACAGUCAGCAUGCAAAAAUGAUUAAGUUGAUUAUUGCCAUGAUUAAUUAAUGACCAUAACAUGAAGUUUAAUUUCUCCAUAUGAUGAGGAAGAAAGACAUGAAAUCCAUCACCAGAACAUGAUUAAGAAUUUAAUCAAGCAACGCGUCUUAGUUAAACCAUUACAAUCAUUGUACAAGGCAUUUAUAAAUUAAAAAAAAGGGAAUAAAGUAAUAAUUGUUAGAAUAAGAAGAAAAUGUAGUACAACAAUGGAGGAUAUGCUGCAAUGACUAGAGUGAGAGAGAGAGAAAGAAGAGAGCAGAGAAUAUGACACUGCAAUUCUUUUCACACGCAUUGUUUGAUUGCUCACUUAGUGAGAGAGGAACAUCUCUCUACACUUAACAGUUACACUUCCAAACUUUUGGCAGUAUUCAAAAUUACAUCCAAGUAAUCCUAGCCAUCCAUCUUACACCCUAUGAGAUGAAGACACAUGUACACUCACUUACUUAAGAACUAUGAGACUUAGAUAAGAAAGCAUACAACCAAUUUAGCUAAUCAUCCUAGCAAUAUAAGCUAGAAAUACAACUACCACAUCAGAUCACAAUUUACACACUAACAGCCCCCUUUAAAUUGUGAACUGAUUUAACUCCAAGAAGUUCCCUCAGAUAACUGAAUUGUUCUCUUGCCAAUGCCUUUGUAAAGAUAUCAGCAAUUUGGUCUUUCGUAGGACAAUGCAACAGCUCAAUUACUCCUUGCUGCAAUGCUUCCUUUAUGAAAUGGUAUCUCCUGUUGAUGUGCUUGGUCUUCUGAUGAAAAAUAGGAUUUUUAAUGAUAGCUAUGGCUGAAGUAUUAUCACAAUUCAUUGGUGUUGCAACUAUUUGCAUUUCACCAAAGUCCUCCAAAACAAAUCUCAGCCAUGUAGCCUGUGCAGUUGCUUCAGAUGCACUAAUGUACUCUACUUCAGCUGUUGAUAAUGCAACACAUUGUUGCUUGACUGAAGACCAAGAGAAAACUCCACUGCCAAAGGUAAAUGCAUACCCCGAUGUACUUUUCAUAUCAUCUUCUGAACCGCUCCAGUCACUGUCACAAAAUCCCAUUAAGAUUGCUCCUUUGCCUUUCUUGUAUUCCAAGCCAAAAUCAAGAGUCCCUUGAACAUAUCUUAGUACUCUCUUUGCUGUCCCAAGGUGCUUGUUGGUUGGACAGUGCAUAAACCGUGAUAGCAGACAUGCAACAUACAUUAUAUCAGGUCUAGUUGCUGUGAGAUACAGCAAACUGCCUACAAUUUGUCUAUAUUGAGCUUCAUCCGUAGUCCCACUUCCAUCCUCUUUUCUCAAUUUAUCACUUGGAACCAAUGGAGUACUCACUGACUUACAGUCUUGAAGUCCAAAUUUCUUCAGUAGAGAAGAAGCAUAUUUUCUCUGAUGAAUGAAAAUAUACUCCUCAGUUUGCAUUACUCCCAUACCAAGAAAGUGAUGUAAGAGUCCAAGAUCAGUCAUUUCAUAUUUGAGCAUCAUAUUAGAUUUAAAGUCAUCCAUCAAUUCCUGACAACUUCCAGUGUAUAUUAUGUCAUCAACAUAGAUAGACACUAUAAUCAUUUCUGAACUUUUCCUCCACUUGGUAUACAGAGUUGCUUCGCUAGUGCUUUUCUUAAACCCACAGAGUGUAAGAUAUGAGUCUAUUUCACCAUACCAGGCCCUUGGUGCCUGCUUCAGACCAUACAGUGCUUUAUGUAACCUGUAGACCUUAUCUUCUUCCCCUUGUACAAUAAAUCCAUCCGGCUGAUCAACAUACACUUCUUCUUCUAGUACACCAUUCAAGAAUGCCGAUUUUACAUCCAAUUGAAACAACUUCCAUUUGUUCUUUGCUGCCAGGGCAAUUAAUGUUCUGAUUGUAUCCAACCUUGCCACAGGUGCAAAGGUUUCAUUAUAAUCAAUUCCGGGCUUUUGUGCAUAGCCUUUUGCAACAAGCCUAGCCUUGUUCUUUUGAACUGAUCCAUCCAAAUUCAAUUUAGUUUUGUACACCCAUUUCACACCAAUCACAGGUUUAUCAGAUGGUCUUUUCACUAAUUCCCAAGUCUUAUUUUUCUCAAUCAUGCUGAUUUCAUCUUUCAUAGCUUUCUUCCAUGCUUUAUCCUGUGCAGCUUCAUAAUAGGAUUCUGGUUCAACAAUACACAUGACAUCUUUCAUAGAUUUCACUCAAACUUCUAUAUCUCAAAGGAGUAUGAUCAAUCUGAGAUGCAAAAAUUGAGUCACUAGCACUUCCAGAUUCAAUGAGUGGAGAAUCUGUAAGUUGAGUCUGAGAACCUUCAGCAACAGCUUGUUCCAUGGAAUCCGAAUCCUCAUCAGCUUCUUUCAUCUCUGAAGAUUCACUUGCAGCAAUUGGAAUGUACACUUCUUUGAUCUUCUAUCUAUCCCAAUCCUAUGUACCAUUCUCAUAAAAAAUAACAUCUCUUGAAAUGAUUACUUUCUGAUUUUCAGGAUUAAGCAAUCUGUACCCCUUUUCACAAGUGCCAUAUCCAAUAAAAAUACCAAUGACACUUGUUUCAUCCAGCUUCUGUCUCAGGUUUCCAGGAAUAAGGGAAUAACCUAAUGAGCCAAACACUCUCAAGUGUUGAAUUCCAGGUUUUCUUCCACUGAAUUUCUCAAAAGGUGUCACAUUUUCCAAUACUUUUGUAGGACAUCUAUUUAGCAAGUAGACAGAUGUAACUACAGCUUCACCCCAAAGACUAUAAGGAAGACCUUUCUCAUGAAGCAUACACUUUGCCAUCUCCACUAUAGUUCUAUUUUUUCUCUCUGCAACUCCAUUCUGUUGUGGAGAGUAUGCAACAGUAAGCUGCCACUCCAAACCCAAAGCUUCACAAAACUGUUCAAAUUCAUUUGAGGUAAAUUCUUCUCCUCUAUCUGUUCUCAAUUUCUUCACUGAAAAACCACUUUGAAGUUCCACCAUAGCUUUGAAUUUCUUGAAUACAUGAAAGACAUCUGACUUGUGUCUCAAGAGAUAUAUCCAGCACAUCCUCGAAUAGUCAUCAAUGAAUGUAACAAAGUAUCGAUUUCCACUUAUGGUUGGUGUUUGCAUAGGGCCACACACAUCUGAGUGUAUAAGUUCCAAUGGCAUUCUUGCUCUCCAGAUUGACUCCCUUGGAAAGGACACUCUAUGAUUCUUACCAAAUGCACAUCCCUGACAUACACCUUCACUGUCAUGCAUUUCAGGUAACCCAAGAACCAUAUCAUGCUCCUGCAAUUGUUGCAAACUUCUAAAAUUCAGGUGGCCAAACCGUUUAUGCCACAUUGUACUAUUCUGAUGCACAUUGGUUUUCAGUACCAAAUGAUCGUUUGACUUGAACACAAGUGGAAAGCAUCUGUUCCCCUUUUGUUUCACACUAACCACUAAAUUUGUCAGAGUUCUAUCAUAAAAAAUAUCCACCUUAUAAUCACCAAAUAACAGAAAAUACCCAUGUUCAGUCAUCUGCCCAACACUGAGAAGGUUUUCUGCAAUUCCAGGUACUAACAUAACUUCUCUUAUGUACCUUUUUCCUUUAUCCGUGUCAAUGACCAAGGUUCCUUUGCCUUUCACAUCAACAAGAACCCCUGUGCCAACUUGCACUUUUGCUUUAAUACUUCUAUCAAUUUCCACAAGUAACUCCUCUCUGGAAGUCAUGUGAUUACUGCACGCACUGUCAAUAUACCAGGCAUCACUCACAGCUUUCACUUCAGUUGAUUGCUUGACCAUGAAGAGAUUUCCAGGUUCCAGGUUCUCCCACCUUGUUUCUAAAAUUUCUUUGCUCUCCCACUUUGUCUGCAAAAUUCCCUUGCUGAGCAUUUUUGUUUUGAUUGCAGAUCCUAGCAAUAUGACCAGGUUUUCCACACUUGUGACAUUUAAUCUUCCCUUUUAGCCAACAUUCACCAUAGUGAAGUUUAUCACAGUAUUUGCAUGCCCCUCCAGUGUUGUUAGCUUCAUUUCUUACACUUGGAGUAAACCUGUUAGUCCACUGCUUCCCUUUGAACUUGAAGUUCUUCUGAUAUUUUGAUCCACCAGUAUUGGUAUGUUGAUUACCAAAUUUACUAUUCUUAGAUGAGAUAUAUAUCUAAGCUAGCAAAUGCACGUUCUGUGCUACUCUCUUCAUGUCUGAUUAAUCUUAGUUCAAACCCUUUCAAUAUGGCAACCACAUCUUGUGCAUCAAUUACAUCAAUAUCUUUAGUAUUUUCUAUAACAGAAGCAAUGCUAUCAUAUGUUUUGGGUAAACUGAUCAAUAACUUUUGCACAAUUCUCUGAUUACUAAGAUCUUCUCCAUAGCUUCGCAUCUGAUUUAUCAGAUCAAACAACCUAGCUAAAUAUGCAGCUAGAGAUUCACUUUCACUCAUACGGGUAUAUUCAAAAUCACGACGCAGACCUUGUAAUUUCACAGAUCGUACCUGUUUGUCCCUACACAUACUCUUGCUUCAGAAUAUCCCAAGCUUCUUUUGCAGUUUCCAAGGUUGCAAUGCGUGGAAAAAUUUGAUCCGAUACGGCUCCCUGAAUGAUUCCAAGAGCCCUUGCAUCCUUGACCAGAUUUUCACUCCGCAACUUCGUUUCCACCUCAGUGAGUUCUCCUUCCCCUUUCGCUGAAGUGGUAAAACCUUUUUCAACAAUAUUCCAUAACUCGUGAGAUCGGAAGAUUGUUUUCAUUCGAAUCUACCAGAAAUCGAAAUUUUCUCCGUUGAACACCGGAGCUCGAAGCUCCCCUCCACCAGAUCCAGCCAUGUUAGACUUAGAUCACACCUCUCUCUACUAUUUUCUUUGCAACGAUGUGUUGCAAACACUUGCUCACUAUCUCUCACAGAAUCGACGCCCAGAGAUUCAGACCCAACAAGGCUCUGAGGCCAUGUUAGAAUAAGAAGAAAAUGUAGUACAACAAUGGAGGAUAUGCUGCAAUGACUAGAGUGAGAGAGAGAGAAAGAAGAGAGCAGAGAAUAUGACACUGCAAUUCUUUUCACACGCACUGUUUGAUUGCUCACUUAGUGAAAGAGGAACAUCUCUCUACACUUAACAGUUACACUUCCAAACUUUUGGCAGUAUUCAAAAUUACAUCCAAGUAAUCCUAGCCAUCCAUCUUACACCCUAUGAGAUGAAGACACAUGUACACUCACUUACUUAAGAACUAAGAGACUUAGAUAAGAAAGCAUACAACCAAUUUAGCUAAUCAUCCUAGCAAUAUAAGCUAGAAAUACAACUACCACAUCAGAUCACAAUUUACACACUAACAAUAAUUACAAGUUUUACACAAGUGACCAUUUAUUACAAUGGUGGAAAGGUGUUAAAAGCUUUUGCAUGACGGUGUGAGUUCGAACCUCGUCGGUUGUUAAUCUACAAACCCCGUCGGUAGUUAAUCUAACUUCUAAUCUAAUAAAAUCUAUUUUUUGACCAAAAAAAAAUAAUUACAAGUUUUACUAAAAAUUUAGGGGUGUGAUAUCUACACACCCCUUUUUACUUCUCUCACAUCUUUUUGAUUUUCGACCGUCGGAUCGGAUGAAUUGAAGAAGAUCAACGGACAGAAAUUAAUAAGGAUGUGUGAGAAGUAAAAAAAGGUGUGUAGAUAGCACACCUCAAAAUUUACCGGAAGACUUGAUCACCCAUUUGUAUGCUGACAACGGUGACUAGAUUCACAACCUCUUUCCCACGUAAAUCACAUCAUCCAAUUUUAUUUUUCUUACAACAUAUCACGUAUCUGUCAUAUGUAAGACUUUUUUGGAAUAUGGAGCGUGAAAUUGCAGCGGAAGCAUCCUAGAUUUUUGAUCGAAUAUUGAGUUUGGUUUCAUGACAGACUUCCUGGAUCAAACACACCCUAAAAAAAUAUAUAAAAAACCAAUAAGGUCAUGGUGAUACGACAUCAUUUUAAGAGGAAAGGUAAAAACAAUCUAGUUUCUAUACUAGGAAGAUUCACUCGAACAAAUUCUUGGAAACUAUGACUCAAACAAAAUUCUAGGAAUUCAGUAUUUUUAACAAAUGAUAAACGUUUAAGAUAUAUUCUUUAUAAUAUUAGAGAAAUCGAACGGUUGAUCUAUAACUCGCAAAGUGGUUGUAGCUCAAGUAAUUUUACUCCCCAAUUUUACAUAAAACAUAAAAUAAAAACAAAUCCUAAUUUACAUGGUAAUUUUUUUUCAUAGCUAGGGACAACUUCGACUAUGGUAAUGCAAUUAAUAUACACUAGUUUUGGAUGGAGAAGUUUCAAGAUUGAGCAUGGGAUGGGGAGGGGCGAGAGACUUGGAUGGAGAGUGAGGUUUUAUGAGUUAAACAGUGAUGCAAGGAUGUAUUACUUAAAACUUUAGAGACCGUAUGUUGGGCUAUAUAUAAUUGUUUAACUCAUAAACGUUUUGAGUGUUUCUAACAUAUGCUUAUCAAAAGCCUUCUCGUUCUAUCAAACAAUACGAAAAUUUUCAAUUGAAUGCAAGACAUACUAUUUUAUAUAUCACAGUACUUCAUGGAUCAUCAUCAUCACAUAUCCUUAAUUCAAAGGUAAUAAAUGAGCAUCUAGUUUUAUUUUUAUUUUAUUUUAUAUAGGGACUACAGAAGCAAGCACCCUUUGUAAAUUAAACUCUAAAACUUCUCAAGUAUCUUGAAAGGUGCCAAAAGCCAUCAGCCAACUCCAGUUGAUGCAUAACCUCCUACAUUUACAAAAACAGCGUCGCCGUUAAUUUAUUGACUUCUUCCCAGGACACAUACCAAUUUGCGAAAGUGGUUUGACUGAUGCUAAUUAGUCGAGUAAAGUACAGUCUUUUCAAUUAAGCAGAUGCAAAACACUUAGUUGAGGCACUACAAAUAUGAUUUUUACCUUUAAUUAACGCGCUUCAAAAUCUGAACUGGACAUGUAGUUUGCUGAAGCAACAGUUUCAAGUUGCUGAUUCCCACUUAUACCAGCCUCCACCGUCCUCCUUCCAACAAAAAAUGCUGGCUUUGUUGGUGAUGCUAAUCGAAAGCUUUCAUUUGUCAACAUAGAUAUGACAUCUGACAUGGUAGGGCGAUCUGCUGCAUUUUCUUCUACGCAAAGCAGACCGACAUGGAUGCAUCUUAACAGUUGCUCUUUAAUAAACGAAUUUCCUAAUGUUGGAUCCGUUAAUUCUAGCCCUGCACCUUUUUUCCAUAACUCCCAUGCCUGAAGAACAAGGAUUGCAUUUCAUUCUAAAGAAGAAAAAAUAUGAUUAUAAAUUUUAAGAGAGAGAUUUGUUUGUCAUACAUAUCCUACUAAAUUGAGUGCGCGAUCGUCAUUGUAAAAGCUGUUGUUUUUCCUUCCACUUAUGAUUUCAAGCAUCAAUACCCCGAAACUGUAGACAUCAGACUUUACAGAAAUAAUUCCCCCCACGGACUCUGGAGGCAUGUAACCACUGCACGAAAUGAAAAAGAAAAUUAGUCAGUAUACUUAUCUGGAAAAAUGCGUGUUUAGCAGUCAAAAGGGGAGGACCACGUCAAUGUGAUGCAGAAAUACUUACAGUGUCCCCACAACCUUUCUAGUGUUUGCUUCCAAUUCAUUUUGGGUGAAAAUCCUUGCCAUACCAAAAUCUGAAAUUUUUGGGUUCAUGUUUUCAUCAAGUAGUAUGUUACUAGCUUUUACAUCUCUAUGAAUUACUUUCUUUCUUGAGUAUUUGUGCAGAUAAAGCAACCCUUGAGCAAUUCCUUCGAGAAUGCUAAAACGCUUCUUCCAAUCUAGUAGUAGACCUCUGAUUGGAUCUGUCCAAUAUGUAGAGUUAAGUAGGACUAAUAUUAAUUAAUAGUAGUACUCUAUGAACUUUGACAGUAAAAUAAAAAUCAGAUAGUAAAUUUAACAAAUGAAAUCAAGUAUCUUGGUUCCUCACCAAAUAAAAAGUGGUCCAAACUUUUGUUCUGCAGAUACUCAUAUAUCAACAUCAUUUCUUCACCAUGAAUGCAAAAUCCGAAAAGGUGAACCAGGUUUGUAUGUUGGAGUUCAUAUAUAAGUAUCAGUUCAUUCUUGAAUUCUGAUGUUCCUUGCCCUGAACAUUUCGAAAGCCUCUUCACAGCUAUUUCUUGUCCCGCCGCCAAUUUCCCCUGAAUUGAUAAUCCAUAUCAUGUUUUUGCUGUCAUCUUUAGGCAAAUGAAGCUAAUUCCUUUUUUUUUUCUUACAGCUUUUGAAUUAGAACUUGGGAGCAGCCUCUCCAUAAAUGGGGGUAAGGCUAGCCGACAUUCACCUCUCCCAGACCCUGCGUAAAGCGGGAGCCUUGUGCACUGGGUACGACAGCUUUUGAAUUAGAAGCAGAAAUUUUUUUUUUUCAAAAUGUUACCUUAAACCGGUCCAAACCCUCCUUGUCCUAGCUUGUUUUCUUCAGCAAAGUUGCUUGUGGCAGCCACGAUGGAUGAAUAGCUAAAAACGCUAAAAUCAUGAUGUCGCUUAGAUUUCAUGAAGAUAAUCAUUUCGUUCUCAAUCGUUGUCCGGUUCUCACCUAUACAGAUCAAUUAUAAGAAAUUAAAGUUUCAAUGGAGACAACAAUUGUCAAAGAUGUGAUUAAUAAUCCUGUCUUAUGUUGGAUUAUGUGGCCAAGUGGCCAUAUACUUUAGAUUAAACAAACCAAAGGUGGACAACACCUUUCCUUGUUUUGGGGAGGAAAAUAGGGAAAAGGUUUUUUGUCUUGGUCCAUGGGAAGUCACGGUUGAGGUUUUGAAUAAUAAGUUUUGGUUGUAAUGAGAAGUAAGAGUGGGAUAGAAGAGAAGAAAAUAGAGUGCAGAAAAUUGAGAGAGCCGAAGAGAAGAGAGGGAGAGAAAGAAGGUACUGCUACAGUACCAUUUUCAGAGAAGGGGUUGUUGUUCCUUUCAUUGGAUAAUUCUCACUCCAUCAAAGUGUUAUUGUUGUAAUAGCUUUGAGCUUUGUAUAGAGAAGAAAUUAAUCACUAUAUUUCUUUCUCUAUUUGUUUCUUUGGAGUGUGAGUUAUUGGGUUAUUUGGGUUGUGAGAUUGCCAACACUUUGUAAACUCCCAUUUGGUUGAUAGUGGAUUCUUGGGUGAGCUCCUACUGCUCCGAGGACGUACUCUAGUUACACUGACUGUUGAGGAACCUCGUUAAAAUCUUGGUGUCUUUAAUAUUUUGUUCUUGCAUUUUAUUUGAUAUAUUUCCUGUGGGUUAGCUUGAGUUGGUUCCACAAGGGUUUGGUGCUAUCCUAGCACAACAAUUGGUAUCAGAGCACUGGUUGCUCUUGGGUACUGUCUAGUUGCCAAAAAUGUCAGACGGGCAAGAUGAAAAUCCUUUUGGAAGCAGCUCCGGGUUUGCAAGAACGACGGUGCAAAAUGCAAAGUUCGAAGUGGAAAAGUUUGAUGGCACACAAACAACUUCGGGAUGUGGCAAUGUGAGGUCAAAGAUGUGUUGGCUCAACAAGAUCUACUUGCCGCGUUGGGAGAGAAGCCGGAAACUAUGUCGAAGCCGGAAUGGGAAAAAUUAAAUUUGUGGGCUUGCUCUUCAAUUCGGUUGUGCCUUGCAAAAACUCAGAAGUAUUUUGUGAUGCGGGAGACGGUAGCAAGUGUGUGUUGUGGCAAAAAUUGGAAGACAAGUAUAUGACAAAGAGUGCAGAGAACCGACUACACUUGAAGAAAAAAGCUCUACCGCUUCCAAUACAAAGAAGGUACAAAAAUGAUUAGACACCUUGAUGCUUUUAAUAAGUUGAUUGCCGACUUGUUAAAUUUAGAUGAGGAUAUUAAGGAUGAAGAUAAGGCCUUAAUAUUGUUGAAUUCCUUGCCGGACUCUUAUGAGCAUUUUGUUACAACUAUUAUGCAUGGUAAAGAAACUGUGAAAUUUGAAGAUGUGUCAAAUGCCUUGAUGAAUUAUGAAAUGAGGCAUAGAGAUAAAAAUCAUGAUAGUACCUCUGAAGCUUUAUUUGUUAGAGGUAGAUCAUCGGAGAGGAGGUCAUCUUCUAGCAGGAAAAAAUCACAGUCUCGACCUAGAGGAAACUCUAAAGGUAGAAAACCUUUGGAAAGGGAUGAAUGUGCCUUUUGUCGUAAUAAGGGCCAUUGGAAGAAAGAUUGUCCCAAAUUGAAGACCAAAGGAAAAGAAAGUUCUGAAGCUAAUGUUGCUGAGGUUGAAACAGAUUUUUCUGAUUUUGCUUUAACCACUUCCUCAUCAUUUGAUUGUGCUACUAAGUGGGUGUUGGAUACGGGUUGUACUCAUCAUAUGACUCCUCACAAGGAUUGGUUUUCAAGCUUGAAAGAGUUUUGAUGGUGGCGUUGUGUUCAUGGGAGAUGACAAUCCUUGCACAACAAAAGGGAUUGGUACAGUUCGUUUGAAGUUGCAUGAUGGCAUGGUUAAAGAGUUGACAGGUGUUCGGUAUGUACCGAAUUUGAAGAAAAAUCUUAUUUCUUUGGGUACUUUGGAAUCUAAGGGUUUCAGGUUUCAUUCAGAUGGACAGACAUUGAAAGUUACUUAUGGUGCACUUGUUGUGAUGAAAGCUCCUAGAUGUGGCCAUUUGUAUUUAUUGCAGGGAAGCACUGUGACAGGUGAAGCAUCUGUAGUCUCUGAAAAUAUGGGCACAUCUGAUUCAGAUACUACUAGAUUGUGGCAUAUGAGAUUAGGCCAUGCCGGUGAGAAAGCUCUACAAGGGCUUGUGAAAAAAUGUCUUCUAAAAGGUGCCACGACUUGUAAGCUUGAUUUCUGCGAGCAUUGUGUCUUGGGAAAGCAAACUAGAGUGAAGUUUGGUACUGCUGUACAUCAGACGAAGGGCAUUCUUGAUUAUGUGCAUUCGGAUGUUUGGGGUCCUACAAAGACUCCCCUCUUUGAGUGGUAGACAUUGGUUCGUGACCUUUGUUGAUGAUUAUUCAAGAAGGUCUUGGGUCUACACUAUGAAGCAUAAGAGUGAGGUGUUAAGCAUUUUCUUGGGUUGGAAGAAAAUGGUUGAGAACCAGACUGGGAGAAAGAUUAAGAUUUUGAGAUCGGAUAAUGGUGGUGAAUACACAUCCGAUCCUUUCUUUAAAGUUUGCAAAGAGGAAGGAAUUGUGAGACAUUUCAGUGUUCGGGGAACUCCACAACAAAAAUGGAGUUGCAGAAAGAUUGAAUCGAACCUUGCUUGAGAAAGGUUAGAUGUAUGUUGUCUCAGUCGGGUUUAAGCAAGUCAUUUUGGGCAGAAGCAGUUAAUUAUGCAUGUCACAUCAUCAACCGGUUACCCUCAGCUGCUAUUCAGGGUAAGACACCAAUGGAGGUAUGGACUGGAAAACCUUCUUCUGAUUAUGAUCAUAUUCGUAUUUUUGGUUCACCUGCUUAUUUUCAUGUAACUGAAAAUAAACUUGAUCCUAGAGCCAAAAAGGCUAUCUUUCUUGGUUUUAGUAGUGGUGUCAAAGGUUACAGGUUGUGGUGUCCAGAGAUGAAGAAACUGGUAAUUAGUAGAGAUGUGACAUUUGACGAAGAAAGUAUGUACAAAGUCUCUGAGAAGAAUGUGAAAGAUGUCCAACAGGUGGAGCUUGAGAAAGUUGCUUCUGGUACUUCAAAUCCUAUUUCCGCUGAUGUCGAAGCCACUACAAGUGAAGAAGUUGGAGACCAUGAGGAUGUUGAAGAAGUUGAACUUGAAGAUUCUAUUCAAGUUGAAGAGCAAGUUUCACCUCAAGAGUCUAUUGCCAAGAACAGAGGAAAGAGACAAAUUACUAAGCCAGCUCGGUAUAGUGAUUAUGUUGCUUUUUGCUCUUCCUAUUAUCACUGAAGAGAUUCCAUCCAAUUUUGAGGAAGCUAUUGAGAGUGAGGAGAAGAAUAGGUGGUGCAAUGCCAUGGGUGAUGAGAUGAAUUCUCUCUUGAAGAACAAGACUUGGGAGUUAGCUAAAUUGCCUAAGGGCAAGAAAGCUAUUGGUUGCAAAUGGGUGUAUGCCAAGAAGGAAGAUGCUGAUGAGAAAAGCAAUGUGAGAUUUAAAGCAAGAUUAGUUGCUAAAGGGUAUGCACAAAAGGAGGGCAUUGACUACAAUGAAAUCUUUUCUCCGGUUGUGAAGCACUCCUCAAUUCGCAUUAUGUUAGCUCUUGUUGCACAGUAUGAUCUUGAGCUUGUGCAACUUGAUGUAAAAACGGCUUUCCUACAUGGUGAUUUGAAUGAAGAGAUUUAUAUGUGUCAACCAGAUGGGUAUAUAGUGAAAGGGAAGGAGAAUUUGUUUUGCAAAUUGAAGAAAUCACUUUAUGGUUUGAAGCAAUCUCCAAGGCAAUGGUAUUUGAGGUUUGAUAAAUUUAUGAGAGGCCAAAAUUAUUCUAGAAGUCAAUAUGAUCAUUGUGUGUACUUCAAGAAGUUGCAAGAUGGGUCUUUCAUUUAUUUAUUGAUAUAUGUUGAUGAUAUGUUGAUUGCCUCAAAGAAUGUCGAAGAGAUUGAGAAAUUGAAGAAGCAAAUGAAGAAUGAGUUUGAGAUGAAGGAUCUUGGUGAAGCGAAGAAGAUCCUUGGCAUGGAGAUCACUAGAGAUAGAGCAAAGGGUUUCGUCAGUUUGAAUCAAAAACAAUACCUUGAGAAGUUGAUUCGGAAGUUUGGAGUUCAUGAUUCAACCAAACCGGUUAGUACCCCUUUGGCUCCUCAUUUUAAAUUGAGUUCUCUACAAUGUCCUAAAAUCGAUAAAGAGAAACUGCAAAUGAAAAAUAUACCAUAUGCAAAUUUGGUUGGUAGUUUGAUGUAUGCAAUGGUAUGCUCUAGACCGGAUAUUGCUCAUGCAGUUGGCAUGGUGAGUCGAUAUAUGCAUAAUCCAAGUAAAGAGCAUUGGCAAGCAGCUAAGUGGAUAUUGAGGUAUCUCCAUGGUACUCGAGAUGUUGGUUUAUGCUUUGAGAGGGAUGACUCUGGUAUUGGUCAUUUUGCAGUUGGUUAUGUUGAUUCAGAUUAUGCAGGUGAUCUGGAUGGAAGGAAGUCUACUACAGGCUAUGUGUUUACUAUGGCUAAAGGGCCAGUUUGUUGGAGGUCCAUUUUGCAGUCGUCUGUUGCCUUGUCUACUACAGAGGCUGAAUAUAUGGCAGUUGCUGAAGCUAUAAAGGAGGCCAUUUGGAUACAUGGGCUUAUUAGAGAUUUGGGGGUUGAUCAGAAGCAGGUGGAGGUACAUUGUGAUAGUCAGAGUGCCAUUUAUUUGGCUAAGUAUCAGGUUCAUCAUGCGAGGACCAAGCACAUAGAUGUGCGUUAUCACUUUGUUCGUGAAAUUGUUGGUGAAGGGGAAAUCAUUCUCCAGAAGAUUCCAACUAAAGACAACCCCGCUGAUAUGUUGACUAAGGUUGUUGGUGUAGCCAAGUUUGUUCACUGUUUGAACUUGGCUCACAUUUUGCCUAUAUAAAGAAGGCGUUGAGUAGUAGGAGUUUUGGAGCAUUUGGCUCAGCAUGAGUUGUUCUCUUGCUAGUGUUUGGGAGUGAUGUUGUGUGCUAAUUGUGUUGGUUGGCUUAUCAUGGCGUUUUCGGAACUUGGCCAAGGUGGAGAUUGUUGGAUUAUGUGGCCAAGUGGCCAUAUACUUUAGAUUAAACAAACCAAAGGUGGACAACACCUUUCCUUGUUUUGGGGAGGAAAAUAGGGAAAAGGUUUUUUGUCUUGGUCCAUGGGAAGUCACGGUUGAGGUUUUGAAUAAUAAGUUUUGGUUGUAAUGAGAAGUAAGAGUGGGAUAGAAGAGAAGAAAAUAGAGUGCAGAAAAUUGAGAGAGCCGAAGAGAAGAGAGGGAGAGAAAGAAGGUACUGCUACAGUACCAUUUUCAGAGAAGGGGUUGUUGUUCCUUUCAUUGGAUAAUUCUCACUCCAUCAAAGUGUUAUUGUUGUAAUAGCUUUGAGCUUUGUAUAGAGAAGAAAUUAAUCACUAUAUUUCUUUCUCUAUUUGUUUCUUUGGAGUGUGAGUUAUUGGGUUAUUUGGGUUGUGAGAUUGCCAACACUUUGUAACUCCCAUUUGGUUGAUAGUGGAUUCUUGGGUGAGCUCCUACUGCUCCGAGGACGUACUCCAGUUACACUGACUGUUGAGGAACCUCGUUAAAAUCUUGGUGUCUUUAAUAUUUUGUUCUUGCAUUUUAUUUGAUAUAUUUCCUGUGGGUUAGCUUGAGUUGGUUCCACAAGGGUUUGGUGCUAUCCUAGCACAACAUCUUACUGGUGCACAUGAUUUAAAGAAAUAUACCAGCUGAUGCAAGGGCUGAUCUUCUUCGUUGGAGUAGAUAGUACGCGGUGCAAAGCACUAGAGCAGCAGCUAUAGAAAUGCCAAUCCAAACCCAUUUAUCUGCUGCAUCAUAAACAAUUAGCUAGCAACAUAUGCAAUCAGCGUAACACACACGCACAUGUACGCAUUAAUUGUCUUCAAUUUUUGGAUGAACUAGGUCUUGCAGGUUUCUUCCAGAAAACGAAGAAAAAUCCGAGACAGAGAGCAGAACUUAAGACAACAAUAACAAAGAUAGAGGUACCUAAUAAUACUGAUUCCACGCGUGUCACAGAUUUCCGGCUUAAAUCGGGUUUGCAGCCUCGGUAUAUAUCCUUCGGAUCAAGAAAAGAAAACCCUUUUGGGCAUUCGCAGGUUGGCCUUUUAUCUGGUUUGAGCUUACAGGUACUGUUGUAACCGCAAACACCAACGCCCAGUCGUAGGCAAAUAUCAUCCGGCAUAUACACCAGAGGACUAAUCCAGCUUGCAUUUCCAGUGAAGUAUUUCGGGUGAGAAUAUAAAGCGAAAAUCCCAUCAAAAUCAAGAGUUGCCCUUAUGUAGUUGUCCCUCACCGACACUCCCUCUGUCCCCUUAAGAGGGACUCUUCCAUCAUUUUCUCUCAGAACAGACAUGUCCCCUGAGCUGCUGAACACCAAUUCUUUGCCUUGACUACCUGGCACGUUCCCUGCGGUGGUCUUCGUGGAGAAGUAAGCUUUCUUGGCCUUAUCUGUUGUCAAGUUGACGGAAAUGAGCACGAGGUUUCCAUCAUCUUGCAAGCGCAGCUGGAACCGCCCUUUUGUGUAGUUAGUCUCCGAUUGUCUACACGAAAGCUUCCCAUUUCUCUCAAUUGUCUGUCCAGGCAAAACGGUGUCUGUAGGAUUGCUGAAGGUCUCCCACAAGCUCCCCGAGUUUUGGUGUUGAAGGACAAAGUUUCCGGUGUCAUUCAUGACCCCGUUCGCAACAGUCCCCAAGGUUAUUUCGGAUUUCCAUAUCUCUCCACCCUGAGGAUUGUUAAGAACUAGUCCACUGUUGGCAGUCAAGUUCAGAACUGAUCCCCUAGGUGCAACCAUGGGGUUGUUACCGUCGUAUGCAUACCAAACCACGGUUUUGUCUGGGAUAUUCGCAUACCAUAUCGAAAGCAAGAAAAGAUCAUUGUUUCCGAGGGGCGAAAAUCCAAACUCGAAAUCACCGGAUGGAGAAAGCCAUGAUGAGGAGUCGCCUAUAGUUGCAGUUAGAGAACUCCCAACUGCUACUCUUCCAUUAUUUUGGGAAAUCACAGAAAUUGGUAGCAAAAACAAAGAGAACAAAAGCAUCUCUACAGAAAGAGCCACUGCCAUUGCAAAAGCACCAAUUUUUCAACUUGGCUUAACUGAUUAGCUAUAUUUCUUAGUAAAGCAUUGGUCCUUGUUUAUAUCUUCAAGUAAAUGUGUGUGCAUGUGCCUGUCAUUUUCUAAGUUUUUGCCUGGAAUCAUUUUUUGAAGUCAAUGUUACCCAUCAGCCACGAUAUGACCUCAGACCUCGCUACAUCACACACAAUAAUAUCUCCGGGCCUACAGAAUAAUUUCUCCAAACCUACACAUAUCACAAGAAUUUCACUUUGAAAAAAAUAAUAUAAUGAACAGUUUUAUAUAUAAGACACCGAUACCGAUACUUUUUGUGAUAGAACUUAUUGUCUCUCUCAAUUCCUUGUAAUGUUGCAAGUUGGAGCAAUAUUGAUGUAAUUAGUAAUGGCCCGCUAACUUGCCUCUCUCAAAUCUCUUUUCAUCCUACUCUCGUCCCUCGUCCGUUUUAUGAUUCUACUUAAUUAAGCACUUAUAAGUGUUCCAAAUCAAACUUGUAACUUAAAUAAUUAAAAAUAUUUAUCACUACACUGGGGAUUCUAGGUUCCAAAAUAUAAUAUAUAAUAUAUAUGAAUGUUCCAAACCAAAAGGACAAGUAAAUACGAGCAUGACUCACGCUGCAUGUGUCGGCCAUUCAAGUCCACAAGUCAAAAUUCAACAAUGGGGCCCACAAAGAAAAUUUGAAAAAGUACAUGCAGAUUGAGGACGUAUACAAAGAAUCUGAAAACAAACCUCCAGGACCAAACAAAGACGACUAAGUCUCCAUUUCUGUAUUCACACAAACCAAAGUACUAACUGAAGUUUUUAAUGUAUGAUUACGUCAUUGGGGUAAAACACCCGAGGCCGAGUUGAGAUAAUCACAGGGUUGGGGAAUCGAGAUCCUCUCCGAAUGUCACAGUCUGGCACAAACGAACGUAGAGAUCCGAACCACUUAUUUUAAAUUCUACGGUCUUCAUUAGCCUAUCCUAUUGGCCCACAUCACACAAGGGGCCCAAAUCUUUCUCUCCCCUCUCUUGAACGGUUUGGAUAUCUCGGUCUGUCGAUUUUGGAUUGGGAGAUUCAAAGAGAAUUUGAUUUCGGGUUUGAGGUGUGGUUCGCCGACCAUUUGAAGCUCGUUGAGGCGUGGCCCAUCUCAUCCACGUCGGGAUAGCCAUUUCGUACCAAGUUGGAUCCCAGGUCAGGCCAGUCAUUUCAUUAGCCUAAGAUAGACCUGACAGACGAGGCGCUUGGAUAUUGCCUACCGCGACCAAAUGGACCCAUGGGCUCAUUAGAUGAUGAGUCUGGACCCUGGGGUGUGUAAAGCCCACCUCAGCUCGAUCCAUAUUCGGUCGAUACUUAAGGGAAGGUGGAUAUGGGGUAAAGGUAGAGUAAGCUCCAAGCCAUGUGGAGGUCAGUCGAGAUUGAACACACAUUCAUAGAAUCAUAGUAUGAAAUUCAAGUCCAAAUUUUAACACUACGAAACCGAAAAGCAUGCAACUCCGAAGAGCAUUGUUUCAGUCCAACAACCUAAACUUCCUUAAAAAACUAAGACAAAAACGACGACACUAGUAAACGGAAAAACAUGCAACUCAGAAAACCAUUGCUCUAGUCUAAAUGAGGUUCCUCAAUGCCUCAAGCUUUUCUAAACACCAUAGCCUGAACCUUUUCCUUUGCGCCUUCUUUGCUUCACCAGAAACGUUCUUAAUGAGCUUCCUUCAAAUUUGGGACGAGCAGGCAUUAGGCUGUGCACAAUGCUGUAAAUGCCCCUAGCCCUUGCCACACCCUAGGUGCGUACGCUUGCAUGUCCGACCUGAGUUAUCUCAUUACGCGCGCAGUUUGAUCUUCCCGUAUUGACAUCCCUGCUGUCUAUUCUCAUGCGAAUCCUUUUGCUGGUGACUUCAUCCGGGUCCAUUUUCUUGCUCCUCAGUGCAUGUUCAUCUGCUUUUCCCUAUUAAUAAAUAUAGGAAUCCCAUAACAAACAGCAUUUGACAAAACAGAACGUAAUAAUAACAACAAAACUUGACUUCAUCCUCAUUGCAUGUUCAUCUGCUUUUCCACUUCAAAGCAGCUGACGGCACGAUUCGUACUUGGACUCCAAGAUGUCUAGAUUAUGGAGAAACUAUCCCUUUGUCCAAAACACACAAAGAAGUGGAUUUUCCGUUUAUACCAAGUGUGUUGAAGCAUGUCCCACAUGGCCACAUCGGAAACUUGUUGAAGUUUAAAUCCUCUUAUAUAGAAAGUUCGACUACUAAUUGCCUUGAGGCCUUAAUUUUGUAUAAAACCAUACCUAUUGAAUUGCACACGUGCUUAAGUUAAGGUUAGUAUUAAUGGUAAUUAGUAGUGGGCCGCUGGUCGUCUUCAAAAAACUGGUACAAAGGGAAGAUUUAUAGAAGCAGUGUUGAGAUAAAGGCAAUUCAUCUGUUCUUUUUAGAAGGAUAUAAAUGAAGCAAGGUUUAUCUGCUCACCCGUAAUGCGGCUCAGCCCUUCAUCAAAAAGUGAAAUAUCAAAAUUACUUUUACAGCAAGAGCAAUACCAGAAGAUGUAAUCUAAAUUGUUUAUAUUUGGUUCCCUUGAAAUCCUUUUGACUGUUUCAACAUAGUAUAUGUUGGUAUUUAAAAGUUUAGAAACUUAAUACCAAUUAUGUGGGUGAUAGGUUUUCUAACUCUAUCACACCUCUAUCUCUUUUACUCUCUUUGAAAAUGGAUCGAUAGAAAGAAAAAACAGCAAGCUUCUUAAAGAAACAAGUACUUGAUAUAUUAAAAGAGUUUCAACUCUAUUGCUGAAAAUAUGGAAUGGAAUUACAAAGAGCCUUACGGAAAGGCAUUCUUAUACUUGCAAAAAACAAGAGAACCACACAAGUGGUUUUCAUAAACAAAUGCAAACAAAGACUUUCUAGACUUAGCUAGUGGAAAACUAUCCAUGCAAAAUAAAAUAAAGGGGUUCAAAGUCUUUACUUGCAGCAGUUUUAGACUAUUGAACACACACACACACACACUACUUUAUUCUAGUGGUUUACAACCACAUUUCGGCUAGCACAGAAGAGAAGCAUUAAUUUGGGUAAGUGCAGGAAGUAUGAGUCAAAAGAAACAGCUAGCAGCCCACUAACAUUGAAAUAAUGUUUUUAUUUGAACUUCCAACACUCCCCCUCAAAUCAAAACACCUUCAUUCCUAGCAUGUCAUGCAGCAGCCGGAAUGAUUCAAUUGGCAGUGGCUUUGUGAAGAUGUCAGCCACUUGUUCCUUGGUGUGACAAUAGAUAAGCUCAAUUAUCUUUUGCUUCACAUGAUCCCUCAGAAAAUGGAACCUGGUAUCGAUGUGCUUGCUCCUUCCAUGUUGAACAGGAUUCUUUGCAAGCUUGAUUGCAGACAUGUUAUCCACAUGAAUCACAGUAGAUUCCACUUGUGGAUGACAUAAAGAUUUCAACAGAUUUCUUAACCAAAUUGCCUCACACACAGUUAAGGCUGCAGCAACGUACUCGGCUUCACACGAUGACAGAGCAAUAAUUGAUUGCUUCUUUGAAGUCCAUGAGAAAGCUGUUGAUCCUAGAAAAAACACAUAGCCAGUUGUACUUUCCCUUUCAUCUUGGUCACCUCCCCAAUCACUAUCUGAAUAACCAAAUAAUUUUGCAUCUUCACCAAAAUUAUAAAACAGACCAUAGUUUAGAGUGCCUCUUAUGUACCUUAAAAUUCUCUUGGCAGCCAACCAAUGAGACUCAUUUGGUGUUUCCAUGUACCGACUCACGAGUCCAACACCAUAAACUAUAUCUGGUCUUGUGAUUGUAAGGUACCUCAAGCUUCCAACGAGGCUUUUGUACACGGUUGAGUUUACAAGCUCACCUUCUCCUUCCUUGGACAGUUUCAAUCCAGUUGCAACUGGAGUGUUGACAAUAUUGCACUUGUCCAUAUUGAAUUUCUCCAAUAUAUCUCUCAUGUACUUUUGUUGAGAGAUGUAGAUACCGUUACUUUCUUGCUUCACCUCUAUGCCAAGAAAGUAUGACAUUAAUCCAUUGUCAGUCAUCUCGAAUUCACUGAACAUGGAUUGCUUGAACUCACAGAACAUUGCUUCAUUGUUUCCUGUAAACAACAAGUCAUCUACAUAGAGACAAAUAAUUAAGAACUCCCAUUUUUCACCGUUCUUCAUGUAAACUGAAUGCUCGUAUGGACAUUUCUGAAAUCCAUUUUGGUGAAGGUAGUUAUCAAUCCUUGAGUUCCAAGCUCGUGGUGCUUGCUUGAGGCCAUACAAAGCCUUUUUCAAAUGAUACACCUUAUCUUCUUCUCCUUGUACUCGGAAGCCUUCCGGUUGUUUCACGUACACUUCUUCCUCAAGAACUCCAUUAAGGAAGGCUGACUUGACAUCUAGUUGAUAAAUUUUCCAUUUAUGAUGAGUGGCAAGAGAGAUUAGCAAUCUUACCGUGUCAAGUCUUGCAAUUGGAGCAUAGACUUCAUCAUAGUCCACUCCAUACUUCUGUUUGUAGCCCUUUGCUACAAGCCUUGACUUGUAUCAAUCCACACUCCCAUCUGCAGUGCGUUUGAUCUUGUACACCCACUUGACACCAAUAGCCUUCUGAUUUGGUGGGAGCUUUGUCAACUCCCAAGUGUCAUUCUUCUCGAUGGCAUGGAUUUCUUCCUCCAUGGUUAUUCUCCAACGAUCUUCUUCCACAGCUUCAUUGAAUGAGAGAGGCUCGUGGUCUACAUACAAGCAGAAAAAAUUGGUUUCUUCUUCUUCUUCUUGUCCAUAUAUCUCGGUGAGACUUCUUAGCCUCACUGGAGUUGAUGAGCUGCUUUCCUCACUGGAUGUAGGACCACUCCUUGCAAUUCUGUGCACUGGAGUUAUUGUGGUUAUUUGAGCAGGUUGUUGCUAGAUAGGUGGUACAACUUCUGGUUCUUCAAAAUCAGUGGAAACAAUCUUCUCUUUACUGACUUCUUUGUUGUUCCACUUCCAUGCAUCUUCCUCACUGAAGAUGACAUCUCCACUAACCACUAAUUUGCCAGUUAGUGGGUUGUAGAGCUUAUAUGCCUUUGACUCUUCACUAUAGCCCACAAACACACACUUUUCACCUCGAUUAUCAAGCUUCCUCCUCUUGGCUUCUGGAACCUGAGCAUAUGCAACACACCCAAAAACUCUUAGGUGUGCAACAUUCGGCUUGUAUCCACUCCAAGCCUCUUGUGGUGUCAUCCUCUUGACACUCUUUGUUGGACAUCGAUUCAACAAAUAAAUUGAACAAGCUACAGCUUUUGCCCACAAUUCUUUUGGCAAAUUCUUCUCCUUAAGCAUGGACCUUGCCAUGUCAAGGAUGGUUCGAUUCUUUCUUUCGGCUAUUCCAUUUUGCUGUGGGGUAUAGGCAGUAGUCAGUUGAUGCCUAAUUUCUUGCUCCUUGCAAUAUGCUUGGAAAGCAUUGGAGGUGUACUCUCCACCUCUAUUUGAUCUCACAGCCACAAGCUUGUGGUUGCUUUCAGCCUCUGUGAGUGCCUUGAACUCCUUGAAAACUUUUAGGGCAGCUGACUUCUCCUUGAGAAAAUAGACCCAAGUCUUCUUACUGAAAUCAUCAAUGAAGGUAAUAAAAUACCUAUUACCUCCAUAGGACAUAGGAUCUAACGGACCACAUAUAUCCGUAUGUACCAACUGCAGUGGUGCUUUUGCUCUCCAUGCAUCACCAACAGGGAAUGUGAGCCGUGUUUGCUUGCCAAGCACACAACCUUCACAUACUUGGCGUGUGGCUUCAAUCUGGGGUAGACCACGAACCAUUCCUCCACUUGACAGCAACUUUAGGCCAUUGAAAUGAAGAUGGCCAAACCGAAGAUGCCAUUUCCAUGACUUAUCUUCCAUUACACCGAUGUUGCAACUCCCAAUCCUUGUGUUCAACUUCAAUGGGAACAUUCGGUUCUUUGACAUUUGAACACGUGCAAUAAGUUUUCUCCUUGCAUUCCUAAGAGUGAGAAACAUAUCCUCCAUAUGUAUAAUAUACCCUUUCUGGAGCAGUUGACCAACGCUCAGAAUGUUGCUCUUCAUACCUGGUAUGUAGUAGGUAUCGAAGAUGUAUUCUUCUCUACCAUCCUUCUGGAUGAUUUUGAUCUUUCCUUUGCCUUCAACUGGCAACUUUGAGGAGUCACCAAGACUCACAGAUCCAUAAGGCCCAUCUUUGAGUUCGGCAAAAAACUCUUUCUUUCCACACAUAUGGUUGCUUGCACCAGAGUCCAAAUACCAAACAUCUUGUUGGUUACUGGAAUCAUGGUGUGCUAGUAAGACUGUAAAUUCCUCACCAGCAUUUCCACUUGAUUCUGCCAUGUUGACAUGCUCACCAUUUUUAUAUGAACAUUCACCUUUCCCAGACCCUGCGUAAAGCGGGAGCCUUGUGCACUGGGUACGACCUUUUUUUUUUUUUUUAUUCAUUGGCAUAAUGUCCAUAUUGCUUGCAACUGUGACACUGGAUAUGUGCCUUUCCUCGAGUAGAUCUGCAUUCUUGAGACUGAGCUCGAUUUUGUGCAUAGCCUCUACCUCUUCCUCGGGCUCGUCCUCGGCUACAGUUGGAUGAAUUCCCACGACGUGAGUUCCACUGCCCACGACCUCCAUUUGGUUUGUCAAUAUUCAACUUUGACUCCAAAGCUUGCUCUAGCGUUGUGGGGCUUGCAUUCUUCUGAAUGCGUUGCUCGUGAACUAUGAGGGAUCCUAGUAGCUCCUCUGCGCUCAUCGCCUCCAAAUCCUUGGAUUCCUCAAUGGCAGUCACCACAUGCUCAAACUUAGAUGUGAGUCAUGUGAGUGACUGGAGUAUCUUCUCCACAACUCGUACUUCAUCGAGUCUCUCGCUAUUUAUCCUCAUCUGAUUUACUAUCACAAUGAGCCUUGAGUGAUAGUCGGAGAUGCUCUCCCCUUCAUUCAUGUGAGUAGUUUCAAAAUCUGCUCGAAGUGACUGUAACCUCACUUUCUUGACUCGAUCUACUCCUUUGUAGAUUGUACUGAGUGUGUCCCAUACUUGCUUGCUCGUUGUUGCUUCUGCAACCUUCUCAAACGUUGAAUCUUCUAGACCCUGGUAUAGAAGAUACAACGCCUUCUGGUCCUUCUUUCGUAAGUCCUUGAGAGUGUUCCUUUGUUCUGCAGUAUAUGCGGCUUCUUGAUUGGCAGUGGGUACAACAUACCCAUUACUGACAACUUCCCAUAGCUCCUGUGAUCCAAACAAUGCUUUGAAUUGGAUGCACCAUCUUUCAUAAUUUUCUUUCUUCAAUGUGGGAACCUGGAGCUGCACUAAGUUGGACGCCAUAACUGCUGCACUUGCCAGAAUGGUAUUCUGGCUCUGAUACCAAUUGUUGGUAUUCAAAAGUUUACAAACUUAAUACCAAUUAUGUGGGUGAUAGGUUUUCUAACUCUAUCACACCUCUCUCUUUCUUUUACUCUCUUUGAAAAUGGAUUGAUAGAAAGAAAAAACAACAAGCUUCUUAAAGAAACAAGUACUUGAUAUAUUAAAAGAGUUUCAACUCUAUUGCUGAAAAUAUGGAAUGGAAUUACAAAGAGCCUUACGGAAAUGCAUUCUUAUACUUGCAAAAAACAAGAGAACCACACAAGUGGUUUUCAUAAACAAAUGCAAACAAAGACUUUCUAGACUUAGCUAGUGGAAAACUAUCCAUGUAAAAUAAAAUAAAGGGGUUCAAAGUCUUUACUUGCAGCAGUUUUAGACUAUUGAACACACACACACACUACUUUAUUCUAGUGGUUUACAACCACAUUUCGGCUAGCACAGAAGAGAAGCAUUAAUUUGGGUAAGUGCAGGAUGAGUCAAAAGAAACAGCUAGCAGCCCACUAACAUUGAAAUAAUGUUUUUAUUUGAACUUCCAACACUAUAUGCAGAGAGAACCAGAACCAAGUCCAGACUCACUCGUAAUAGGUCUCUCCUCAUCCACAACAAUAUCCCAGCUUUCCCUUGUCGUGGUUUUCCCAUAUUUGUGCACCUUACUGCAAAGAGAGAGCAAGUUAACUUGUCAAAGAAAAACCAGAACAAUAGAUGCCAAUGCAGUUCAGAAAGUUUAUUUCCCUUCAUACCCAUUUCCAAAGUGCUCUUCUCCCCAUGUCCUUGACCAACCUAGACAUGAGAGAACAAAAACAAAGUCACAUCAGAUUAAAUUAUUGAAAGAAAAAGGUUCACUUACAAAUCGACAUUAGAAUCAAGCAACCACGCUAUGAAAUACAAAUUUAAAAUGUAACAAUUUACUGUGUCUGAAAGGAAUCUGUGAAAUAAAAUAGUUAAACCCUAAACAGCACCACUGCAAAUAGCAUAAGAAAAUUAAAAUUAACCCUAAAGAAAUUGGGAGAGAAGAAUAUGAAAAGGGAAUACCUUUCGGCCCUUUGAGUUAUUGGAAAAAACCCAACAGAGCAAAAGAUAAACAAAAAUACAGGAGGAAAGAAAAUAAAUUUUCAACUUGUAAGAUUCAUACACGAACAGAUUGGCGGUCAAAAGCAUUUCGAAACUCAGAGCCAUCAAGCUUUUUGAUCUGCAUGGAAAUUAUUUAUGAAGUUUGAGAUUCUUAUAGAUGCUUUAGACACAUCGACAUAUUGAAAAAGCAAUAUUCAACAACCUAGUACCCAUGCUCCCUAGAAGGGUACAGAAAAUAUGAAUGUCUGGACUCUGGAGUGAGAAAGUAAAAGGACUUGCCGCAUACUUCAUAUCUUCCAAGUUUGUGUAGUCUACAAUCCCUGUUGUGCCUACAAAAAAGGCAUAGGACAAAAGCUAAAUCAAUCGAAAUUCUGAUGUCUCAUGAUCUAGGUCUUAGGAUUAAACUACUGAAAUAACACUACAUGAAAUAGCUGUGUAUAUCCCAAAAAAAGUAUGAAAUCUGGUUGAUAAUUGAAGACUUCGAAGGGAUUUACCUUUGGAUUCUUUGGCUUUCAGAUGGAGUUUGCUUAUGUGUGGGGGAGAGAGGUGGAGCGGCUAGGGCUUGAGUAUGGAAGAGAUGAAAAAUGCAGAGAGCACCUGUUUUCGCUGAAGCAACUCACACACUCUGGACAAAUCUGCAAAUGUCUAAAAGGGGGAAAAUAUAAAAAGAAACCUUAACAACUGAAUUCAAAGAAACAUUAUUACAUUGUAAAUAACAUUUCACAAAAAAAAAAAAAAAAAAAAAAAACUGAACUAAACUAAUUACACUCGGAUUGCAAUGCUAUCAUUUAAUAAUAGGAAUUCCCAUAACUUAGCAGAAGACCUGCAUCUGCAAAGGAUUCUUUAAAACCUAUUUUUUUUGAACAACCCCGCACCUACAACACAUCCAGGCAAGGUAAACCAAUAGCACCCUCAUUCUAAGCUCUUCUGUGCAUAUAUACCCCUUAUAAGUAAUCUUAAUCAAUCAGUUAUCAUGAAUAUAGUCAGUUAUCACGAAUAUACAACUUAUAUUAAUUUUCUACAAUAUCCAACACACAAAUAUAACAGAAGAGGAAACUUUUACUUAAGCAGCACAAAAUGAUAUCCUUUGCAUUUCAUUCCAAAAUCCAUCACUCUUAUGUCUUUGCCUGCACAGUUUUUGCUCCAACAUAGCCCGCCAUGAUGAUAGCACUAUCAAUAAUUAAGACAUAAAGAAAGGCUAUCCUAGCUAGGUAUUAUCAUUGGAGUAAACCAACAACACCAUAAGUAAAGUAGCAGACCAAAUUUUUUCUAGAAUUGAUGUCUUAACAUGUUUAAGUAGCGAAAAGAUUACAACACAUUGGAUGUGUUAACACAUCCAUAAGCUAAUGACUCCCUCUCCGGAUCACUACAUCAUUCUUAAUGUAUUCAACAAUGCAGCAGCAAUUAAAAGUCCUUGGAAAAUGCCAAGCUACUACAAUGACAUAACGAAAAACUAUAUCUCACCUUACCCCCUUGUUGGCAUAGACUGCAUAUCCGCCCUUGUUCGGGGUGAAUCAUAAUCCUGAACUCAAUUAUCAUCAUCGUUGAGAAUGUCAAACUUUAAAUCAACCAUGCAUGGAACAAAACUUAGAAAUUAAACAAUUAUCAAAGCUUAUGAAGAAUGCUAAACCCAACUAAUUCGAAACAUAAAGUAACCCAAAAGAGAGAAAACUUAUAAAUUUUACAUAAAUUAUAAUCCUUAACAGAAGGAUGGAACAAAGCAGGUUCAUUCUUGAGAAUAGAUGUAAUUUUGCACAUUGCAUAUAUGUAGAUUAAGGCUGGUGGUAACAUACCUUGUAAUUUGUACAAAUUAGGAUUUUCAUUCAAAGAACCAUAAUAUACACAAUUACAAAAACAGUGAUUCAAACUUGUUCUUCUCUUAAGGAAAUUACUCACAGUUGAAAUUCUGAAUGGACGAAGUUUUGGCAUCCCUUUCUGACUAUAUUUGAUUAACCUUUUUUUAAUCCAAUGAGUGCCUUCAUGAGAGAGAGAGAGAGAGAGAGAGGAAUAUUAGGUGAAAUGUAUUGCCAAAUCACACAGAGAUCAAAAUCUUGAAUAUAUAUGUUUAACCAUAUCAAAGUGAGUGUGUGAAAGGGUGUAGUCUGCAGAAAGGGCAACAUUUUCACUGCUAGAAAGUUGGAAACUAAACUUUUACACAGAUAUUGGAUUUUAUUAAUUCCCUCCGCGAAUUGAAAAGCAAAUUGUUCGAGUAAUGCAGGUAAAUUCGAUAUACAUAUGCGUUGAUCUAUGUAAGACAGUUAUAAGUUAUAACUGUAUCGUCUUAACACAAAAAUGAUCAUAAAUGUAAGUGUCUGUAUUAUGGAAGUAAGGGACUUACAGCAAUUGCUAUGAGCUAUAACAGCAGUCACUCCAAGUACCCUAUUAUGGAAGUAAGGGACUUAUAUCAAUUGCUAUGAGCUCUACCAGCAGUCUCUCAAAGUGGUGCAACGGCUAAAAUUAUAAAUAAAAAGUAAUUUAAACAAUUUAACUUAAUAAAAUAUUGUAAUUUAAACAAUGCCUAUAUAUUCAAACAUCCCAAAACAGGAAUGAACUUCCAAAAAACAUGCGCAUGAAAAUAAACGGCAUUACUCACCCAUUGAGUUGGACCAUCAAACUGGAGCGUAAGAAGGAUCAUCAUGUACCUAUGAAACCCAAAGGAAACUUUUAGCAACCCCAAAGCUUGUAUGCAAGCGUGAAUAAGUAUGCGUGUAUGAAUCUAUUCAUAGUGAAGAAGGCUACCUUAAGAAAUAUUUGCAUCUGCAGCUUCAUAUGGCCAUACAACAAAAAGCAUCGCAUAUGAUAACAAACCCCAGCUGCACCACAAAAGGAAUAUGAUCUUCCUCUCAACUUGUAUUUGCAGUUGUUACUGUAACAUCUGCAGACAGCAUACAUAAGCACUGAUUCGAAAAUUCUAAAGGAAAAAAAGUCCUUAUUCGAUAAUGCACCAAAUCCUAUCCGAAAACCAAGGGGGUGCCAUAUCCCUAGAUUAACAGAGCAUCUUUCUUUGUUCCAAAACAAAUUGCAAUUGGCUUUGGUAAAGUAGAAAGAUUACCAGAUACCGACUCUGUUCCAUUAUUCGACUGUCCUUUUAGUUCUGUCUCUCAACAUGGGAAAUACAAUAAGACAGUAAAAACAAAAGUUAGUGAUGCUAUUACAUAGUGAAAGAAAAUAAGACAUUCACAUAUUGAUAGCUAUUUACUGUCCUUUCUCAUCAUAAUCUUGGCCCAUAUAUAUAUAUAUAUAUAUUGAAUUUUGAAAGCAAUGAGAGAAAUAUACCUUUGGGGCGUCACUGCCAGAAGGGUGAGUGAGGGAUCUAAGAUGUUUGAGAGCAGAAAUUUUUAAGUAAUUUGUGCGAAAAAGUUGAAGAGCUUCGAACAGAGUGGAGUGGGUUGGCCUGGGCUAAAAUAAAGAGGAUGAACUCUAGAAAGUAGAAAAUGUUGUGUUCAACCAAACUCAAAAGUAAAGAAACCAUACAAUUAACAUAUAAAUAAGUUUUAUAUACCAAUGAUUACAUGUACGUUGUUUGAGAAGGUAAAUUAGCAACAUAUACAGUGAUCAAAAGAUUAACAGCAAUAAACUGCUCAUUAUUCAAAAUAUACAAGAAAGUUGUCAUUCACAUGAUCCAAAUGGUAGAGGACAAAACAGAAGGAAGCAAAUAUUAUAGCAGCAUAAGUUGAAUAAUUGCAGCAAGUAAACAAAUAGAAAGGCUAGCUAGAUUACACAAUCCAGUUCUAGGUCAGACUAACCAUGUUAGCCAUCCGCCCACCACCAUCACCGUCGGCUUCUUAUUAAAAAUGUAGAAUAGAAGACUCAAAAACUGGAAAUGAAAGUAGGUAACAUUGAGUUUUAAUAACCAAAAAGGGACACUGUUUAAGCAGCUCCACAACAGCAAUAAUACUUGGACGAUGAGCUGCAAAAACAGAAAAGAAAACACAAAUUAAACUAAAAAAAUAUAAAAUUUAACACUAAUCCAAGGAUUAAAUAUCAAAUAUAAAGUCAUUAGGAUUGGGACCUUUGCAUUGAGGAAUAUCUACUACAUUAUGAGUUCCCUCCUGAUAAAGCCCAAUCAGGGGGUUUUCCGAUGAGCCAAGAACGGCUAACUUUGCGUGACACCGCCAUCCCCACUAACACCAAACCAAGAUAAUAUCAAGAUCAAAACUAACCAAUACCAGAAAGAUUUUUUUAUUUAAAUUUUAAGAAAAGACCUAAACUUUACGAAAUUAAGGGGGAAAACAAAGUUAAGUAAAGCACCAAUUUGCAACUGUCAAAAGUGAAAUAUGAGACUGCAACUGCCUAGAAGAACUCCGUGGCCUCAUCGACGAUGACCGGAUGGUGGAGAUUGAACUGGUGCGUACACCUGGAGCACCUGAUUAUACACCGAACAUAGAACAAAAUUUAAAUCAAGUCGAACAAUAAUUGUGAGAAAAUAAACUAAAAGGGAUUUGAGCUGAGAGUUACGAUUCGAAGUGCGGCAAUGGAGGGUGCAGGUUAGCGGCGGCAGAGGAGGGGUUGAGCUUGGGCUCAGUGAGAGAGAAGGUAGUGCUAAAGGCACUAUUUGUCAGCCAAUCAUGUAAUAGGCACACCACUUUUCUAUAUAUGACAAAAAUUAGGAGUUCUCCAAACUAAAGCAUGAAAUUAGAUUCACCAGAGAAUUGGAAAUUGCACAUGAAAAAAAUAAUAUACAUCAUGCCAUUUGUGAUUUUGAAAGAAAAAAAGAAUACCUUCUUCAGGUCCGCUUUAGUAGGUGGAGGCUCUUGAUAGAAGAUUGGCAUUGGAGUCGUUUUACAAAUCAGUUUCUUCCUGAACAUCCUAAUGUCAGCUUCUAGAGUUUCCUGUAAAAGAACAGACAACAUUCAUAAUAAGAAAAUCUCUCUCUGCAAUCGUAGAAAUCCCUCGGGUUUCAGGAAGCAAAUGGAAAACGAAAUGCUUUUCUCCCGUAUCUCUCUCUCUCACCUCUGUCCCAUCUCUCUGUCUCCAAAUCGCAGAAAAGAAACCCUAAACAAAUCCCUGAAAUCCCUCGCCUAAAUCCUCCCACAUUUCUCUCGGACACCCCCCUCUUUCUCUCUGCAAACCCUAAACCAAAUCUCCUAAAUCCUAUCUUUGACACCCCACAUACAGCCAAGAUAUUAAAGCAAUCUCUAUAUAAUACUUUGGAACAAUGAAGAAAAAUGGUACUUACUUGUUCCUUGUCCAAAACCGUUGGUGCUGCCGCACAUUGUUAUCAAUUGUGGGUUGAUCAAAUCCUUCAUGGCUUAGACUGCAUGAAGAAUUAGAAACUAAAAGAUGAAUAUAUGCCGUAAAUCAUCAUAUAAAUGUAAGUGCAUUUAAAAAAAAAAAGGGAAUGACAAAAUUGAAUUCUAUUUCAUCAGUAUGUAACUGCAUGAAAAGUUACUUUGAAUGAAGACUCGAUCAAUUUCCCCAAAGUCAUUGUUAACUGAAAAUCAAUAUCAAACCCAUAAAUACCACAUUGAAUUUGACCAAGUUAAAGGAUAAAGGCACUCGCAUCAUCGUAUUACUCUUUGGGAAGAUCUUCUAAUAAUGGUUCUUCCUUUUUCUUGCUCUUCCUUAGAACUGCCAUAAAAACCCCAGAGAAGCAUACAAAUUCAGAAAAGAAAAGGUUCAAAACUGCCAUAAAAAAAAUCUAGAAAGCAUACAAAUUUAUCAGAAAGAAAAGUUCAAAUUACAAAUACCAAAUGAUGUGAGUAAGUAGUGAGAGGUUGUGUUAGGCACCUGAAACACGUUUUGGUUUCAAUUGAAAGGGCCAGAGACAACAUCCACAUUCUUUUUUCUUGGGUGAACUAACCAAAUCAUAUUAUAUACUAAAACGACAUAAAAAAUCAUUCACAAACUCACAACAAAAUAGAACAAAAAGAUUCACAAAAGAUUUGGGAGUUGAGACGCUAACAAAAACAUUUCUUUUCUAAACAAAUACACAACCGCUAAUCUGGGUUUGGUCAGUUUGACUAAAACGGUGCGCUAUUUUGCAUCUAAAUAUAGUAUAUCGCUUAAAUAAAAUUAAUAAAAAAUACACAUCCAAUGCUUUUAGUCUAAAGCUAGAAUUAGGAAUAACUGAGGAAGUUAAUGAAGGCAAAGCAGAGGGUAGGAAGCAGAACAUACCAAGAGACCAGUAGGCCAUCGGGGCCGGUCUGCCGAUGAACGCUGUGUACUGGUUGACAACGCCCAACGGAGUUGGCGCAGAAAAGAAGUAAAAGUCGAAACCACCCUCAAUGACCUUGUAGGUGAGAGAAGUCCCUCUGUAGAACACAUCCAUGCCAUUGCUGUUGAGCAGCAAAACGGAGUGCGCGUAAGCCUCGUUGCCCACAUUCCGGAGAUCCAUGUAAACUGGGUGGGACCCGUACAAAUCAGUGUUGAGAUUGAUCGCUGAGAAGUUAGUGGUGAAGAGGAUGUAUUUAUCGUUCGGGUAGAGCUUGAUCCCGUGCGGCUGAGAGUUCUCUUCGAGGCCGUACAAGGAGGAGUAUUUCGGCACUCGGGUGGAUAUCUUGAGGUCUAGUCCUUAAACACCAGUACUAGUCCAAUAAACCACUCCGCUUUUAUUGAUUUUCAAUUCAUGUUCAUUCGGGUCCCAAACAAGACUGAACGGCCCCAGAGCCGGGUUGUAGGUAUCUACAUAUGAUAUAAGUGCCCACGUGGCCAUCAUUGCGGUUGACACCUAACUUCAUACCCGGUAAAAAUGUGUAUCCAGGAUAAUCACUUCAGCCGAUCGAGGGUGAUUUGAGGUGUUUUCUAGCUGAAUUGGACUUCGACCCAAGUAUGAAAGUUGUUCCUCUUAUCGAGAUCUUCAUUCAUGUAAAAUUUGGGAAUUUUAGAAUUGUUGAAUUCUCCGGCGAGUCAGGGCUACCAGCCGCCACGUGUUUCGGCGCAUGGCCCUUUGGCCGCUGUCCCGUGGCGACUCGUGCGGUGAUGUAUGCAGGAAAACCUAAGGUUCCUCCUUAGGUUUUUCAAUGUACCAAACCCGAAUCCGCCGUCCUUUUUUCAAAAUUCUAACGUUUUCAUAGAGUUUUAUUAAACGACCUUUAAUUGUGUUUAGGUGCAUCGGUGGAGGUGACCUCAUUCUUGAUGGUUCGAGCGGCUUUCGGGCAAUGGAAAACUUGUGAGUGGACCCCUUCUAAACUUAUAUAUUGUUAUAAAAUAUUAGCCUAGCAUGCAUUCCAUAUUUCAUGAUUUGAAUAUGAUUUAUAAUAUGCUUUAUGGACUUUUAUAAUUAUGGUUUACGAAAUAGUUUGAUUUAUCGAAAUUACGUUUUAUUAGGUAUUGAAUUAUUGGAUUUGCAUAUAUGGAUUUCUAUGGUUUUCAAAUACGAUUUAUAUUACGGUUUUACGAACAUGAAUUAUUUUAUGGAUUUCAUGAAUACAAUUUAUCUUGGAUUUAUGAGAUGAGAAUUUGAGCUAGUGAGCUCCGGGUUUGAUAUAAGUUUUGAGAUAUGUUUUUGGUACUUAUCUAGUGGGUUAUCAUACGGCACAUCCGCACACCACGGGUAUAGAAUUGUAUGGCCAUAGGACACAGAUGAUGAGGAGGAGUAAGAUAUGAUAUAUUAUAUACCCCCAGUUCACUGUCGAAAGUAGUGUCAGAUAACUUCACUAGCCAUGGCUAGUGUCGGUAUGGAUGUUAUGCUAUUUCAUACAGCUUCACCUUCGGGUGAUAGACAGGUUAUUUAGCUUCACCUUCGGGGUGAUGGACAUGUACUACCUUCGGCCAACUAUGAUAGCCUUUGUUGAGUACUUCACUGACAAGAUUUACAAAUUUGCCUUCGGGCGACGGCAUUUUCAUUAUCAAGCAUUGGAUUUUACAUAUCUACCUUCUAAAUGGAUUUUCAUGGCAUGCUAGGGUUUUUCAUAAAGCCUAUAUGUAGUAUUAUAUAUGUUUUCAAAACAAGGGGUUAUUAUGUUCAUAAAUAAAAUGUUUUCCUAUUAUUAGUAUUAUUAAUAUAAACUUUGGUCCACUCACAUUUUCAGUUUUUGCGCCUCCACAGGAGUUAGGAUCGAGGCACAUGAUCCCGGCAUCAUGGCAUGUUGAUAUAGGUAUCCUUGAAUCUUCCCAGUGUAGAUAUCAUUCCCUUAUUCAUAUCUUUUUAUAGUGAUUCUUCCCUAUUAUUUCUAAUUAGUUGUAUGCUCUAAACACAUUCCUGCUUUGGUAUAAUCGUUAUAACUACUUAUCUUGUAAUUGUUUGCAUGUUUAAAAUGGUUUCGUCACCCUUGGGCGUGGGCUAGCACGUGCCUACCCUGGUAUGUUGGGAUAUCGGGGUUGGGGCAUGUCAAAGAUAGAGAGUGAAUUUCUAGCAGAUUCAAUGGUUGUCUACAUUUUAAAAAGAGCUUGCCGAAAAGAUUGAUUCAGAUGAAAUAACAAAGGAUUUCAAUUCCAUUAAGGAUUGAAGGGCACAACUUGAAUAGGUAUUUUUCUUUUUAUUUGUUAUGUUGUUAUGACAGGAUUGACGAUGUAUGUUUAUUUAUAUUGUAAGUUGCAACUUUAAAGGUUUUCUUUGUUAAAUCUAGUUGAAACUUGAUUCAUUUAGAGUUAAAUUUCUUACUUCAAAUUGUUGCUUUUAGGCUUAUUAUUGUGUAACUUUAUGCAAGCAACAAAAAAUUUUAACCAUUUGAUUUUGUACUAAUAAUUUUAGCUUAGCAUGCCACCAAAUAAUUCAUGGCUCCGCUAUAGAAAUCUUAGCAUGUGCAAUUUCAAAGUCUCGGUUGCCAAGUCUCCCCAGGCUGUUCAGCACCCAUUCUGAAUCUUGAUCGAGAUCUAGAGCAGUGCAAGUCAAGGAGUCUUCAUUCUCAUUUGAAACAAUGCUAAAAUUAUACCUCAGCUUGGACUCCUUGGGCAAAAUAUACCCAAAUGUAUUAGUACUACUUGUGGAUACACCACUAGUCCAAAAAAAUCACCUCUCCUUUCUUAAUCUUCAAUUGGUGAGGGUCCCAAUCAAGCGUGAAAGGCCCCGGCGCACGGUUGGCUUUAGUUUCCCAUGAUGAAAUCGACGAAACAUGGCCGUUUGUACGGUUGACACCCAAUUUCAUGCCCGGUAAAAAGGUGUCAACUGGUAAUCAAAGCUUUACGUUCACUUCUUCUUGUACAAAAUUUCCCGAAUCCAAAAGGAUAGCCACAACAGUAGCAAUACUGUACUUAUGUUGGUAGACCUAGUAGUUUGUGGAGCUGAGAAAAACGCAAUUGGAUUAGGAUCCCCCCCGCAUAAUUUUCAAGGUUUUAUUCCUGUCCAAGGCAAGAGUGCGUACAAAAUAGGGGCUUUACGGUUGCAAAUCCAAGCAAUGUUGCCAUCGGCCUUGUUGCUCUGGAUAGAUACGUAGCUGGUGCUUUUGGAACUGUCGUCGUGUACACAGGAACUGAAACUGAACUUCUCCGAUGCAGAGACCAAAGAACUUGAGGAGUUGAGAGUGUCUCCUGCUGGUUUCAGUGUGUCCCUUGCACUUGCAGCAUUGUGACAGGUCCACAGUCAGCAUGCAAAAAUGAUUAAGUUGAUUAUUGCCAUGAUUAAUUAAUGACCAUAACAUGAAGUUUAAUUUCUCCAUAUGAUGAGGAAGAAAGACAUGAAAUCCAUCACCAGAACAUGAUUAAGAAUUUAAUCAAGCAACGCGUCUUAGUUAAACCGUUACAAUCUUUGUACAAGGCAUUUAUAAAUUAAAAAAAAAGGGAAUAAAGUAAUAAUUACAAGUUUUACACAAGUGACCAUUUAUUACAAUGGUGGAAAGGUGUUAAGCUUUUGCAUGACGGUGUGAGUUCGAACCUCGUCGGUAGUUAAUCUAACUUAUAAUCUAAUAAAAUCUAUUUUUUGACCAAAAAAAAAUAAUUACAAGUUUUACUAAAAAUUUAGGGGUGUGAUAUCCACACACCCCUUUUUACUUCUCUCACACAUUUUUGAUUUCGACCGUCAAAUCGGAUGAGUUGAAGAAGAUCAACGGACAGAAAUUAACAAGGGAUGUGUGAGAAGUAAAAAGGGGUGUGUGGAUAGCACACCCCAAAAUUUACCGGAAGACUUGAUCACCCAUUUGUAUGCUGACAACGGUGACUAGAUUCACAACCUCUUUCCCACGUAAAUCACAUCAUCCAAUUUUAUUUUUCUUACAACAUAUCACGCAUCUGUCAUAUGCAAGACUUUUUUUUUUGUAUAACAUGAAAAAGAAGACUUUUUUGGAAUAUGGAGAGUGAAAUUGCAGCGGAAGCAUCCUAGAUUUUUGAUCGAAUAUUGAGUUUGGUUUGAUGACAGACUUCCUGGAUCAAACACACCCUAAAAAAUAUAUAUAAAAAACCAAUAAGGUCAUGUGAUACGACAUCAUUUCAAGAGGAAAGGUAAAAACAAUCUAGUUUCUAUACUAGGAAGAUUCACUCGAACAAAUUCUUGGAAACUAUGACUCAAACAAAAUUCUAGGAAUUCAGUAUUUUUAACAAAUGAUAAGCGUUUAAGAUAUAUUCUUUAUAAUAUUAGAGAAAUCGAACGGUUGAUGUAUAACUCGCAAAGUGGUUGUAGCUCAAGUAAUUUUACUCCCCAAUUUUACAUAAAACAUAAAAUAAAAACAAAUCCUAAUUUACAUGGUAAUUUUUUUUCAUAGCUAGGGACAACUUCGACUAUGGUAAUGCAAUUAAUAUACACUAGUUUUGGAUGGAGAAGUUUCAAGAUUGAGUAUGGGAUGGGGAGGGGCGAGAGACUUGGAUGGAGAGGUGAGGUUUUAUGAGUUAAACAGUGAUGCAAGGAUGUAUUACUUAAAACUUUAGAGACCGUAUGUUGGGCUAUAUAUAAUAUACGUUCCAUGGAUAAUUGUUUAACUCAUAAACGUUUUGAGUGUUUCUAACAUAUGCUUAUCAAAAGCCUUCUCGUUCCAUCAAACAAUACGAAAAUUUUCAAUUGAAUGAAAGACAUACUAUUUUAUAUAUCACAGUACUUCAUGGAUCAUCAUCAUCACAUAUCCUUAAUUCAAAGGUAAUAAAUGAGCAUCUAGUUUUAUUUUAAUUUUAUUUUAUAUAGGGACUACAGAAGCAAGCACCCUCUGUAAAUUAAACUCUAAAACUUCUCAAGUAUCUUGAAAGGUGCCAAAAGCCAUCAGCCAACUCCAGUUGAUGCAUAACCUCCUACAUUUACAAAAACAGCGUCGCCGUUAAUUUAUUGACUUCUUCCCAGGACACAUACCAAUUUGCGAAAGUGGUUUGACUGAUGCUAAUUAGUCGAGUAAAGUACAGUCUUUUCAAUUAAGCAGAUGCAAAACACUUAGUUGAGGCACUACAAAUAUGAUUUUUACCUUUAAUUAACGCGCUUCAAAAUCUGAACUGGACAUGUAGUUUGCUGAAGCAACAGUUUCAAGUUGCUGAUUCCCACUUAUACCAGCCUCCACCGUCCUCCUUCCAACAAAAAAUGCUGGCUUUGUUGGUGAUGCUAAUCGAAAGCUUUCAUUUGUCAACAUAGAUAUGACAUCUGACAUGGUAGGGCGAUCUGCUGCAUUUUCUUCUACGCAAAGCAGACCGACAUGGAUGCAUCUUAACAGUUGCUCUUUAAUAAACGAAUUUCCUAAUGUUGGAUCCGUUAAUUCUAGCCCUGCACCUUUUUUCCAUAACUCCCAUGCCUGAAGAACAAGGAUUGCAUUUCAUUCUAAAGAAGAAAAAUAUGAUUAUAAAUUUUAAGAGAGAGAUUUGUUUGUCAUACAUAUCCUACUAAAUUGAGUGCGCGAUCGUCAUUGUAAAAGCUGUUGUUUUUCCUUCCACUUAUGAUUUCAAGCAUCAAUACCCCGAAACUGUAGACAUCAGACUUUACAGAAAUAAUUCCCCCCACGGACUCUGGAGGCAUGUAACCACUGCACGAAAUGAAAAAGAAAAUUAGUCAGUAUACUUAUCUGGAAAAAUGCGUGUUUAGCAGUCAAAAGGGGAGGACCACGUCAAUGUGAUGCAGAAAUACUUACAGUGUCCCCACAACCUUUCUAGUGUUUGCUUCCAAUUCAUUUUGGGUGAAAAUCCUUGCCAUACCAAAAUCUGAAAUUUUUGGGUUCAUGUUUUCAUCAAGUAGUAUGUUACUAGCUUUUACAUCUCUAUGAAUUACUUUCUUUCUUGAGUAUUUGUGCAGAUAAAGCAACCCUUGAGCAAUUCCUUCGAGAAUGCUAAAACGCUUCUUCCAAUCUAGUAGUAGACCUCUGAUUGGAUCUGUCCAAUAUGUAGAGUUAAGUAGGACUAAUAUUAAUUAAUAGUAGUACUCUAUGAACUUUGACAGUAAAAUAAAAAUCAGAUAGUAAAUUUAACAAAUGAAAUCAAGUAUCUUGGUUCCUCACCAAAUAAAAAGUGGUCCAAACUUUUGUUCUGCAGAUACUCAUAUAUCAACAUCAUUUCUUCACCAUGAAUGCAAAAUCCGAAAAGGUGAACCAGGUUUGUAUGUUUGAGUUCAUAUAUAAGUAUCAGUUCAUUCUUGAAUUCUGAUGUUCCUUGCCCUGAACAUUUCGAAAGCCUCUUCACAGCUAUUUCUUGUCCCGUCGCCAAUUUCCCCUGAAUUGAUAAUCCAUAUCAUGUUUUUGCUGUCAUCUUUAGGCAAAUGAAGCUAAUUCCAUUUUUUUUCUUACAGCUUUUGAAUUAGAAGCAGAAAUAUUUUUUUUUCAAAAUGUUACCUUAUAAACCGGUCCAAACCCUCCUUGUCCUAGCUUGUUUUCUUCAGCGAAGUUUCUUGUGGCAGCCACGAUGGAUGAAUAGCUAAAAACGCUAAAAUCAUGAUGUCGCUUAGAUUUCAUGAAGAUAAGCAUUUCGUUCUCAAUCUCUGGCCAGUUCUCACCUAUACAGAUCAAUUAUAAGAAAUUAAAGUUUCAAUGGAGACAACAAUUGUCAAAGAUGUGAUUAAUAAUCCUGUCUUACUGGUGCACAUGAUUUAAAGAAAUAUACCAGCUGAUGCAAGGGCUGAUCUUCUUCGUCGGAGUAGAUAGUACGCGGUGCAAAGCACUAGAGCAGCAGCUAUAGAAAUGCCAAUCCAAACCCAUUUAUCUGCUGCAUCAUAAACAAUUAGCUAGCAACAUAUGCAAUAAGUGUAACACACACGCACAUGUACGCAUUAAUUGUCUUCAAUUUUUGGAUGAACUAGGUCUUGCAGGUUUCUUCCGGAAAACGAAGAAAAAUUCGAGACAGAGAGCAGAACUUAAGACAACAAUAACAAAGAUAGAGGUACCUAAUAAUACUGAUUCCACGCGUGUCACAGAUUUCCGGCUCAAAUCGGGUUUGCAGCCUCGGUAUAUAUCCUUCGGAUCAAGAAAAGAAAACCCUUUUGGGCAUUCGCAGGUUGGCCUUUUAUCUGGUUUGAGCAUACAGGUACUGUUGUAACCGCAAACACCAACGCCCAGUCGUAGGCAAAUAUCAUCCGGCAUAUACACCAGAGGACUAAUCCAACUUGCAUUUCCCGUGAAGUUUUUCGGGUGAGAAUAUAAAGCGAAAAUCCCAUCAAAAUCAAGAGUUGCCCUUAUGUAGUUGUCCCUCACCGACACUCCCUCUGUCCCCUUAAGAGGAACUCUUCCAUCAUUUUCUCUUAGAACAAACAUGUCCCCUGAGCUGCUGAACACCAAUCGUUUGCCUUGACUACCUGGCACGUUCCCUGAGGUGGUCUUCGUGGAGAAGUAAGGGAUGUUGGCAUUAUCUGUUGUGACGGAAAUGAGCACGAGGUUUCCAUCACCUUGCAAGCUCAGCUGGAACCGCCCUUUUGUGUAGUUAGUCUCCGAUUGUCUACACGAAAGCGUCCCGUUUCUCUCAAUUGUCUGUCCAGGCAAAACGGUGUCUGUAGGACUGCUGAAGGUCUCCCACAAGCUCCCCGAGUUUUGGUGUUGAAGGACAAAGUUUCCGGUGUCAUUCAUGACCCCGUUCGCAACAGUCCCCAAGGUUAUUUCGGAUUUCCAUAUCUCUCCACCCUGAGGAUUGUUAAGAACUAGUCCACUGUUGGCAGUCAAGUUCAGAACUGAUCCCCCAGGUGCAACCAUGGGGUUGUUACCGUCAUAUGCAUACCAAACUACGGUUUUGUCUGGGAUUUUCGCAUACCAUAUCGAAAGCAAGAAACGAUCAUUGUUUCCGAGGGGCGAAAAUCCAAACGCGAAAUCACCGGAUGGAGAAAGCCAUGAU
rnacentral:lncRNA from 1 species